CACCGAGCGCGCUCCACCGUCGUUUGUGAGGCCCCCUCGUCGUCUUCUUCGACUUCAAGCAAGGCCAGGAUCCAGAAGGGCCCAAGGGCGCCGCGAUCUUCUUCCACGAUGUCGUCUUCUUCCUCUUCAUCGCCGCGGAACGCCAAGUUCCUCGACGCCAUCUUAGUCAUCUACCUCUUCUUCACGGACCCGAGCGCCUCCGUCGAUCAUCGCGUCCUCCCGCCGUCUCCGGUCACCCGCGACCGUGUUCGACUCCAGCAGCACCCCCACGGUGAAGCCCCGCUCCUCCCCAACUCUCUCUCCAGUUCAAUUCUCUCGCCGUAGUCAGCUUCCCGAGCCCGCCUAUUCCAUAUCCGCCAUGGACGGCCUCGAGUUCGUGCUUGUGUUCAUGCCGUUGCUCUGCUCGUUGAUUCACACACGCCACCCGCCGCGCCGCAGCACUGCAGCCUCCCCAUACCCACCUAGUGCAUGUCGCCGUCUCUCGCCAUGGCCGCGCCCGAGUCGAGCGCGAGCUCGUGCUCGAGUCUUUGCAUGCACACGGCCGCCCCUUGCUGCACCCACACAUGCGCACAUCCGACCACGGCCACCGCAAGCCUCUUUCGCACCCCCGCCGACGCUUGGUAGCCGCAGUAGUCGUCGCUGCUUGUUCCUGUCGCCGACGAGAAGCAGUCGUCCGCCAUGUAGAAGAAAGCCCCGUCCUUAUGCAGUUCAUCUAAGUCUGAAUCCCUCUUAGAACACCAGAAUUGCAGCAGCAUAGUGGUUAGCGCACCUCGGACAUAAACAGGGGAUCUGGGGUUCAAAUCCGAGGUGGUACCCUUUUUCUUUGUUUUGUUUUUUAACUGCUGUUCUUUCCCCAGCCAAACGAGAGCUGCCGAUCCCCUCUGUAGCACAAACGCAAUGCUAGGGCAGUGGCUAGCUGUCUUGGUUUUCAACGGAGAGGUUGUGGGUUCGAGUCCCAGGCCCCCCUUUUUUUCCUUUUCUUUUGCACACACGCACACUUGCGCCCGAUUCCACUUCUGGCCGCUGCACUCUAAUGCUUCUGGCCCGUGCUUUUUUUCCCUCUGCCUGUGGAUUUUCGUUAUUUUCCAGUGCAUUGCAUAAUUACAGUUUUGCCACUGUUUUGUAAUGGUCAUAUCUAAAUACCCAUGCAUCCAAAGGAAACAUGUCAUAUAUGUAAAAUGCUUAGAAUUUUGUCUAGUUUCAUAAUAUGCACCUUUCAUCUAUGCUUAAAAUGUUUAAAUUGAUGUUUGCUCUUAAUUUGCUAAAUGACAUGCUAAAAUGGUUUAAUUCAUAUCUAGAUAACCGUAGCUCCGUUUUAAAUAAACUUUAUAUGUAAAUGGGGUAGAAAAAUGCAUAGAUUGACAUGGUGCACUUUAUUUUGCUGUUUAACAACUUUAAAAUUGUGUAUAGGGAAGGACAGGCCCCCGUUUUUUCCUUUUCUUUUGCACACACGCACACUUGCGCCCGAUUCCACUUCUGGCCGCUGCACUCUAAUGCUUCUGGCCCGUGCUUUUUUCCCUCUGCCUGUGGAUUUUCGUUAUUUUCCAGUGCAUUGCAUAAUUACAGUUUUGCCACUGUUUUGUAAUGGUCAUAUCUAAAUACCCAUGCAUCCAAAGGAAACAUGUCAUAUAUGUAAAAUGCUUAGAAUUUUGUCUAGUUUCAUAAUAUGCACCUUUCAUCUAUGCUUAAAAUGUUUAAAUUGAUGUUUGCUCUUAAUUUGCUAAAUGACAUGCUAAAAUGGUUUAAUUCAUAUCUAGAUAACCGUAGCUGCGUUUUAAAUAAACUUUAUAUGUAAAUGGGGUAGAAAAAUGCAUAGAUUGACAUGGUGCACUUUAUUUUGUUGUUUAACAACUUUAAAAUUGUGUAUAGGGAAGGACAAUACCAAAUUCGAAAUAUGCAUAUGAGGAUUUUCCGGAAUUGUUGUUUGUUGUUCCGACCUCAUUUAAAAUUGCUUCACCUCUUGCCAUGUUAACCAACAUUUAAUCUUGACAUGCAUCAUACUUGGUUGUACAUCAUGCCAUGCUUAUGUGAUGGUUGUUUACCAUGUUGUUUGCUUGUUUCCGGCGCUUCUUCUUGAUAGUUCCGUUAACGUUGCGAUUGUGAGGAUUCGUUCGGCUACGUUGCUUCAUCUACUUCAUGGACUCGUUCUUCUUCCUAGCGGGAUUUCAGGCAAGAUAACCGUCACCUUGGAUCGCAUUACUAUCAUUGCUAUGCUAGUUGACUCGAUGCUAUCGCUAUGCCGCGUUACCUACCACUUGCUUAUCGAGCCUCCCAAAUUGCCAUGAACCUCUAACCUUUGUAACCCUUCCUAGCAAACCAUUGUUUGGCUAUGUUACCGCAUUUGCUCAGCCCCUCUUAUACGUUGCUAGUUGCAGGUGAAGAUGAAGAUUGCUCCAUGUUGGAUUAUGUUUAUGUUGGGAUAUCACAAUAUCUCUUAUAUUAUUAAUGCAUCUAUAUACUUGGUAAAGGGUGGAAGGCUCGGCCUUAUGCCUGCUGUUUUGUUCCACUCUUGCCGUCCUAGUUUCCGUCAUAUCGGUAUUAUGUUCCUGGAUUUUGCGUCCCUAACGCGGUUGGGUGUUAUGGGAACCCCUUGACAGUUCGCCUUGAAUAAAACUCCUCCAGCAAGGCCCAACAUUGGUUUUACCAUUUGCCUACCUACCACCUAUACCUUUCCCUUGGGAGUAAUUAACCCGAGGGUCAACUUUACUUUAGCCCCCCCGGGCCAAUGCUUCUCUAAGUGUUGGUCUGAACUAGAGCCCCUUGCAGCGCCACCUCGGGGAAACUCCAGGCCUGGUUUUAGUUGUACGGACUGCUCAUCCGGUCGUGGCCUGAGACGAGAUACGCGCGGCUACUAUCAGGGUGUCGGCACGCCGGGAGGUCUUGCUGUUCUUGUUUUACCAUUGUCGAAAUGUCUUGUAACUGGGAUUCCGAGACUGAUCGGGUCUUCCCGAGAGAAGGAAUAUCCUUCGUUGAUCGUGAGAGCUUAUCAUGGGCUAAGUUGGGACACCCCUGCAGGGUUUGAACUUUCGAAAGCCGUGCCCGUGGUUAUGUGGCAGAUGGGAAUUUGUUAAUAUCCGGUUGAAGUAAACUUGAAGUAAACUCUUCUAAAAUACACCAACCGCGUGCGUAACCGUGAUUGUCUCUUUUCGAGGUUGUUCAAGAGGAGAACACGGUUUUUGGGUUAUGUUUGGCGUAAGUAGGAGUUCAGGAUCACUUCUUGAUCAUUACUAGUUGAUGUCUGCUUGUUCAACUCCUCUUCUCGCUCUUGUAUUCGUAAGUUAGCCACCAUACAUGCUUAGUCGUUGCUGCAACCUCACCACUUUACCCUUUCCUUACCCAUUAAGCUUUGCUAGUCUUGAUACCCAUGGUAAUGGGAUUGCUGAGUCCACGUGGCUCACAGUUUACUACAACAACAGUUGGAGGUACAGGUUAUGCGAUGAUCAUGACGUGAGAGCGAUGUUUAUUUGUGUUGGAGUUCUUCUUCUUCUUCGUCGAUCUUGGGUUAGGUUCCUGGUCGGCAGCCUGGGCUAGCAGGGUGGAUAUUGUUUGAGUUUAUGUUUGUGUUUCAUCCGUAGUCGGAUGUUGAUCUCUUGUAUGAUGUUGAUGUAUUCUCGGGACGUUUAUGCCUUUUGUAUGUAUCCCCAACUAUUAUGUGAUGGUACGAUGUAAUGAUAUCCACCUUGCAAAAGCGUCUUCAAGAUGCGCUUCUAUCCUUGGUGGGACCUUCGAGUUCCUUUAGGAUAGGGUCGCAUCUUGGGCGUGACAAGUUGGUAUCAGAGCCUCGAUCGACCAUAGGAGCCCCCUUGAUAGAUCGUGUAGUUGGCCGUUGUCGAGUCUAGAAAAAAAACUUUUUUUGGAGUCUAGUUAUAUCGGAGAGUAGGAAUUCUUUUUACUCCUCAGCCCCCUUCGUCGCUCUGGUGAGAAAUCCGGACGUAGGUGUUUCGACUUACUUCUCUUCCCCUUCAAAUUUUUCUUUAGGAUCACGCGGUUAGUUUUCGUUCAUUGUCUAUCCUCUUUUCAAUCCGGCGCAUUUCUCUUCGAGUGGUUUCGAUCCUCGUCAUCUUUUGCAAGAUCAGUCGUCAGUUUUUUUCUCUUUCGACGUUGUUUCCUUGUCCAGAGUUGUCCUUGUUUUUUUCCCACCCACCCACCCCUUCUUCUUCUUGGAACCGGAGUCCGAAAUCGAGUAUCCAUCCUACUCGUCCGAAGCCUUUGCAUUCUCUCCUCAAUCAACCGGCGCUUCUCUAUUCAAUUAUUCGUCAUUCCAGUUGCCUGUGUUUUUCCCGCCCUCCCACCCUUUUUUUUCCCCGGAGUCUAAGCCUCUAUUCGAGCAUCAAUUUCAUUCAUGCGGAGUAUCUUCAGUCUUUCCUCAAUUGUCUCAACCGGUGAAUUCUCGUCUAGUUAAUCAUCGUUUUUCUCGUUUUCCUUUCGGUGGUUUCAAUUCAAGUUUUUUUUUGUUCAUCAUAUUCCUUUCCUCGACUCAAGUGUUUUCCUUUGUUUGUUCGUCUCUCGCCAUUUAAUUCUUCCGGAGUGCUCAAAACAUCUCAGAAGAUUCGUGUUUGCAUUCAAUUAUUUCGAGGUUGUCACCUCAUUCAAGUCUUUCAGCUGUUCCGGUGCAUCAUCUCUUCUACAAUCCUUCCAACGGUGUUUCUUUUCAAUGGGCCCUAACCCAGAGGUCUUUUCCCAGGAUCUUACCUGACUCUUCUAAUUAUUCCGGAGUUAUUCUCAAGUUCUUUUGAAGUUUGACAUAAUUAUAAAUUUCAUCAGUCAGAUGUUUUUCCAAGAUCAAUUUCAAAUCAUUUUCAUUGUUGGCUCAACCUCUUCGCUUUUCAUUCUCCCGGAGUAUCUCAUCAAAUUUUGGUGGUGUUUCUCGUCGUCAUUCUCAACAUUUGAAGACCGAAGAAUAAUUUCUCUUAAAUCUUGUCCAUUCUCCCAGAGAUUUGCGGUGCUAGCUCGAUGUUAUCCUAUCAAAUUGUUUCCAGUCGUCCAAUUCUUUUCUUACCUAUCUGGAGUAUUUUAGGAGUUGUUUUUCCCUUUCAAUUAUCCGGAGGCCUCCAUUUCAGAAGAUUUCUUCGUUCCAAGUUUUCAGCUUCAUUCGUUCCCAUAUUUGUGCCAGUGCUGCGGUCAAGCAUUCUUUAAUCUAUUCGCGAUCUCUUCGUUUUCUUGCAUCUUGAUCCCCUAAAGUAUAUUUGUUCUUUCAAUCCUCACGGUGAUUCGUUCUCUUUCUUAUUCAUUUUCAAAUUCUUACGGUGGUUCGUUCAAGAUUCCUUUUCGUUCUUAUCACAUAUAUUCAUUCGUUCUUCCCAAUCCUACCGGUGGUUCAUGAAGAUUUUUUCAAGUUUUGCGCUAUAUCUCCCCUUAAUCUUUUUCAUCGUGAAUAAGUUGUAUGCAAUCCAUUGCUUCUCAUCAAUGCAAGUGAUAAAGGAUAAGCAUAACAUAAUUCUCAUUCUUCUUUCAUCAAGUGGAUCAAUUCCUUCGGAGAUUUUUCAUGAUGAAUAAUCUCUUGGUUCUAAGUUGUUCAUCUUUUCUUUUCUGGAGUUCCAAACUUUUUCUAGCUUGUAUCAUUGUGAAGCUCCAUGUAAAUCAUCGCAAGGCGUCAUCUUAUUCCUUUCAUCCUUCAAUCCUAUCUCAUCAUCCUUUUGUUACCGGAGUUCUUCACGGUGGUUCGCAAGGAUUUAAUUCAUUCCUCAAGUGUUCAUCAAGAUUCUUGUUGGAGGAGCUCAAGUAUCUUUCCUUCUUGCUUCUCGAGGUGCAAAUAAUUCUCCAUGUUCUUUUGAAGUGGACUUUUGCAUUUCUUCAUUCUUCUCAGCUAUUCAAGCAUUUGGUUGUGGCAUAAUUCCACCUCAAGUUUUGGAGAUGUUUUCAAUAAGUCCACAACAAGCUUAUUCUUUUGUUGUUGAAUUUUCAACAACUCUGUUCAAUCCUUCCGUGCAAGGAUGCUUUUCAAACUAAAUUGUGGUAGAAGUUGUCAUCUUCUUCUCCGUUCUUUUAGUUCCACUCUUUCAAUUCUUCUGGAGGCGUUGUGUUGUCCCUCUCGUCAAGUAUCGUUCCAUCUUGUCAAGCUCGUGCCUUAUUCCAUUCCAUGUUCAACCGGGAUGCUAUCACAAUUCUGUCAUUCUUAUUCCUUUUCUAUCUUCUUCCAACCGCAGUGGUUUCAGAGUCUAUCUUGUCCUUGAGCUUGUGAUUCUCGCCAUAUUCGCCGUUCCACUUUAUCUACUCGAGUGUUCUCGACAUUCUUAAUCUUCUUUCUUGCACUCUUGGUUACUUCAUCCUCUUUUCUUCCGUCUCGUUCCUAAGAUCUUGGGACGAGAUCUCUUGUUAGUGGAGGAGAGUUGUAACGCCCAGAGACCGAUGCUUCAGUUGCCCUUCCAUUUAUUUUAGUUGUUGACGUGUGUUUAUUAUGUUUGUUGCAUUAUCAUAAUUGUUUUGCAUAUUUCAUUCAUAUAUGUUUAUGCCAUGAUCAUGAUGAUGUCUUUGUCAUAUCUUUGCUUCUUGGACCAUGCUCAUCUCACUUGUUAUGUUGCAUUGUGCCCUUGUCAUUUUGCAUUUCAUCAUGCUCAUCAUGUGCAUUGUGAGAUCCAUCUUAUCAUUUUACUUGCUCUAUGUGUGUGUUGAUAUUCCACAACUUGUUUCCUCUCUUAACCUAUCAAUGCACCAUCAUCUCCUCCUCCCUUCUUCUUUCUUCCAUUUUUGCAAGUGACAUUAACCCAUCAUUCAUUAAUGUUCAUUUAUUUCCUGAUGAUCAUACUCCUUGCCUUAUGCCUCUCUGUCAAAUUUCAUCUCUAUUAAAGUUGUUUUGGUUGGGCUAAGAAUUUACUCAAGUUUGAAUCAAAUUCAAACUUGUUUGAAUUUUCUGUCUCUAAAAUUUCCCAAAGCAAUUUUAUCAAAUAGUGCAUAAUCCCAGGACUCCAGGGAUAUAUUUUUAUCUCCGGGAUUCCUUCCCUAAGCCCGUGUUAUUUUUCUCCAAAUCAUGUUUAUUUUGUAAACAGGAGAAUAAAGCAACACAGGGAAGAAAAACUUUACCUGAAGCCCAGCCGACCCGGAGCCCAGCCCAUCGGGACCUCUCGCUCUCUCUCCCCUGGUAAAUCCCACACAUGCACCGGGCCGGCCCCGCAUGUCAUCCUCUCCCUCCUCUCCUUUUUCUUCCACCUUGGUAGCACCCCCUCUCACAGUAACUCGCACAGCCGAGCGAGGCACAUGGCCAACGCGGCCGAGCUCGCGUCGCGCCCCUCCUAUAAAGCCGUAGCCCCGCGCCCUAGGGUUUCCUCUCCCCCCUCUCGCCGCCGCCACCCCUUUCCUUCCCUCAGUUUCUCCUUCUUCCUCAAGAAAUAGAGGAGCAGAGAACCACCGAGCGCGCUCCACCGUCGUUUGUGAGGCCCCCUCGUCGUCUUCUUCGACUUCAAGCAAGGCCAGGAUCCAGAAGGGCCCAAGGGCGCCGCGAUCUUCUUCCACGACGUCGUCUUCUUCCUCUUCAUCGCCGCGGAACGCCAAGUUCCUCGACGCCAUCUUCGUCGUCUUCCUUUGCUUCACGGACCCGAGUGCCUCCCUCGAUCAUCGCGUCCUCCCGCCGUCUCCGGUCACCCGCGACCGUGUUUGACUCCAGCAGCACCCCCACGGUGAAGCCCCGCUCCUCCCCAACUCUCUCUGCAAUUCAAUUCUGUCGCCGUAGUCAGCUUCCCGAGCCCACCUAUUCCAUAUCCGCCAUGGACGGCCUCGAGUUCGUGCUUGUGUUCAUGCCGUUGCUCUGCUCGUUGAUUCACACACGCCACCCGCCGCGCCGCAGCACUGCAGCCUCCCCAUACCCACCUAGCGCCUAUCGCCGUCUCUCGCCAUUGUUGUUGCCGCCCUCUCUCUCGCCUAUGCACUCGCCUUGCACUCGAGGAAGAAGAAGACUGGAGGAGGAAGAAGGACACAUGACACAAGAAAUUCCGGGCCGGCGCACGAACGCCGCCGUGGGCGCCCGCACGCCCUAAUCUUCUUUAUCUUUCAAUGGCUACAUGGCUGGCUCUCCACCAACACAAACAUGGAGCAGUCUACGGGUUUUAUACCCGGGCUGGUGCUCAUACACACUGCACCCCACCCCGCCUUGCUGCAUGCCCACGAGCUGUAUGCGCGCGCCCACGACACGCACAACCGCGAUCGGCUCGCAACAGACUCACGCACACACACGCGCCUGGCUGCUGCACCCGAGCGAUCCGCUCGGCCUCGCGCACAACGCGCCGGACGCGGGCAGCUCAACAGACUGAGCGCACACACACGCUACACACACAUGCGCAGACACACCUGAGCCCGCCACGGUCGGACCCGACGCGGCCACCGCACGCACGCACGCGCACCGCGCCUGACCCGUCUGAGCCGUGGCUUUUUUCCCAACACUUCACCUCCUAAGCCAUGGUGUUGCCGCACGACCUGACGAUAAGAGCCCUGCCUCGUCGGUGUCGUCUCGGCGCCAUGGACUCCUCCGCUGCGUCUCCGGCACAAGCGCCUCCAGGGUUGUCACACCGAGCCGCCGCGACCUCUGCACCACCACGCAGGUCCUUCGCGACCUUUCGUCUCCGCGACCGCCGUGCCCUUCGCGCACACUCCCCACGUCCCCGCGCUCCCGCCGCGCCCAUACGCGAUCUGCGCAACCAGGUCCAGCGCAUCGACGCGGUCCACUCCCGCGGUCCCGACGCGUCCAGUGCGCACCCAUAACACGCACCGGUCGCCCCCGGCUCGCCGCCGCGACUUAUUCGCCACGCUCCGCACGCCUUCAGCUCGCGCCAUGAUCGCGCUCUGACGCGAUCAACGCGGCCGAUCCGGCGUGUCCAAGAGUUCGGUCUUCUCUCCGCCGGGCCACGCCGCACCACUGCAGCCUCCACUCGCCGCAGCCUCCAUGUCCGCUGCGCGCUCCGCGGACGCCGCCGCGCGCCACGGCCGCCCCUCGAACUUGGCCCUGAAUACCAAUUGUUGUUGCCACCCUCACUCUCGCCUCUGCACUCGCCUUGCACUCGAGGAAGAAGAAGACUGGAAGAGGAAGAAGGACACAAGACACAAGAAAUUGCGGUCCGGCGCAUGAACGCCGCCGUGGGCGCCCGCACGCCCUAAUCUUCUUUAUCUUUCAAUGGCUACAUGGCUGGCUCUCCACCAACACAAACAUGGAGCAGUCUACGAGUUUUAUACCCGGGAUGGUGCUCAUACACGCUGCACCCCACCCCGCCCUGCUGCAUGCCCACGAGCUGCAUGCGCGCACCCACGACACGCACAACCGCGAUCGGCUCGCAACAGACUCAUGCACACACGCGCGCCUGGCUGCUGCACCCGAGCGAUCCGCUCAGCCUCGCGGACAACGCGCCGGACGCGGGCAGCUCAACAGACUGAGCGCACACACACGCUACACACACAUGCGCACACACACCUGAGCCCGCCACGGUCGGACCCGACGCGGCCACCGCGCGCACGCACGCGCACCGCGCCUGACCCGUCUGAGCCGUGGCUUAUUUGCCCAACAGCCAUGGCCCCGCCCGAGUCGAGCGCGAGCUCGUGCUUGAGUCUUUGCAUGCACACGGCCGCCCCUUGCUGCACCCACACAUGCGCACAUCCCACCACGGCCACCGGAAGCCUUUUUCGCACCCCUGCCGGCGCUUGGUAGCCGCAGUAGUCGCCGCUGCUUGUUCCUGUCGCCGACGAGAAGCAGUCGUCCGCCAUGUAGAAGAAAGCCCCAUCCUUAUGUAGUUCAUCUAAGUCUGAAUCCCUCUUCGAACACCAGAAUUGUAGUAGCGUAGUGGUUAGCGCACCUCGGACAUAAACAGGGGAUCUGGGGUUCAAAUCCCAGGUUGUACCCUUUUUCUUUGUUUUGUUUUUGAACUACUGUUCUUUCCCCAGCCACACAAGAGCGGCCGAUCCCCUCUGUAGCACAAACGCAAUGCUAGGGCAGUGGCUAGCUGUCUCGGUUUUCAACGGAGAGGUUGUGGGUUCGAGUCCCAGGCCCCCCUUUUUUUCCUUUUCUUUUGCACACACGCACACUUGCGCCUGAUUCCACUUCUGGCCGCUGCACUCUAAUGCUUCUGGCCCGUGCUUUUUUUCCCUCUGCCUGUGGAUUUUCGAUAUUUUCCAGUGCAUUGCAUAAUUACAGUUUUGCCACUGUUUUGUAAUGGUCAUAUCUAAAUACCCAUGCAUCCAAAGGAAACAUGUCAUAUAUAUAAAAUGCUUAGAAUUUUGUCUAGUUUCAUAAUAUGCAACUUUCAUCUAUGCUUAAAAUGUUUAAAUUGAUCUCUUAAUUUGCUAAAUGACAUGCUAAAAUGGUUUAAUUCAUAUCUAGAUAACCGUAGCUCCGUUUUAAAUAAACUUUAUAUGUAAAUGGGGUAGAAAAAUGCAUAGAUUGACAUGGUGCACUUUAUUUUGCUGUUUAACAACUUUUAAAUUGUGUAUAGGGCAGGAUAGUACCAAAUUCGAAAUAUGCAUAUGAGGAUUUUCCGGAAUUUUUGUUUGUUGUUCCGGCCUCAUUUAAACUUGCUCCACCUCUUGCCAUGUUAACCAACAUUUAAUCUUGACAUGCAUCAUACUUGAUUGUGCAUCAUGCCAUGUUUAUGUGAUGGUUGUUUACCAUGUUGUUUGCUUGUUUCCGGUGCUUCUUCUUCUUGAUAGUUCCGUUAACGUUGCGAUUGAGAGGAUUCGUUCGGCUACGUUGCUUCAUCUACUUCAUGGACUCGUUCUUCUUCCUAGCGGGAUUUCAGGCAAGAUGACCGUCACCUUGGAUCUCAUUACUAUCAUUGCUAUGCUAGUUGACUCGAUGCUAUCGCUACGCACGUUACCUGCCACUUGCUUACCGAGCCUCCCAAAUUGCCAUGAACAUCUAACCUUUGUCACCCUUCCUAGCAAACCUUUCUUUGGCUAUGUUACCGCAUUUGCUCAGUCGCUCUUAUAGCGUUGCUAGUUGCAGGUGAAGAUGAAGAUUGCUCCAUGUUGGAUUAUGUUUAUGUUGGGAUAUCACAAUAUCUCUUAUAUUAUUAAUGCAUCUAUAUACUUGGUAAAGGGUGGAAGGCUCGGCCUUAUGCCUGGUGUUUUGUUCCACUCUUGCCGUCCUAGUUUCCGUCAUAUCGGUAUUAUGUUCCCGGAUUUUGCGUCCCUAACGCGGUUGGGUGUUAUGGGAACCCCUUGACAGUUCGCCUUGAAUAAAACUCCUCCAGCAAGGCCCAACAUUGGUUUCACCAUUUGCCUACCUACCACCAAUACCUUUCCCUUGGGAGUAAUUAACCCGAGGGUCAUCUUUAUUUUAGCCCCCGGGCCAAUGCUUCUCUAAGUGUUGGUCUGAACUAGAGCCCUUUGCAGCGCCACCUCAGGGAAUCUCGAGGCCUGGUUUUAGUUGUACGGACUGCUCAUCCGGUCGUGGCCUGAGACGAGAUACGCGCGGCUACUAUCAGGGUGUCGGCACGCUGGGAGGUCUUGCUGGUCUUGUUUUACCAUUGUCGAAAUGUCUUGUAACCGGGAUUCCGAGACUGACCGGGUCUUCCCGGGAGAAGGAAUAUCCUUCGUUGAUCGUGAGAGCUUAUCAUGGGCUAAGUUGGGACACCCCUGCAGGGUUUGAACUUUCGAAAGCCGUGCCCGCGGUUAUGUGGCAGAUGGGAAUUUGUUAAUAUCCGGUUGUAGUAAACUUGAAGUAAACUCUUCUAAAAUACACCAACCGCGUGCAUAACCGUGAUUGUCUCUUUUCGGGGUUGUUCGAGAGGAGAACACGGUUUUUGGGUUAUGUUUGGCGUAAGUAGGAGUUCAGGAUCACUUCUUGAUCAUUACUAGUUGACGUCUGCUUGUUCAGCUCCUCUUCUCGCUCUUUUAUUCGUAAGUUAGCCACCAUACAUGCUUAGUCGUUGCUGCAACCUCACCACAUUACCCUUUCCUGACCCAUUAAGCUUUGCUAGUCUUGAUACCCAUGGUAAUGGGAUUGCUGAGUCCUCGUGGCUCACAGUUUACUACAACAACAGUUGCAGUUACAGGUUAUGCGAUGAUCAUGAUGUGAGAGCGAUGUUUAUUUGUGUUGGAGUUCUUCUUCUUCGUCGAUCUUGGGUUAGCUUCCUGGUCGGCAGCCUGGGCUAGCAGGGUGGAUAUUGUUUGAGUUUCUGUUUGUGUUUCAUCCGUAGUCGGAUGUUGAUCUCUUGUAUGAUGUUGAUGUAUUCUUGGGGCGUUUAUGCCUUUUGUAUGUAUCCCCAACUAUUAUGUAAUGGUACGAUGUAAUGAUAUCCACCUUGCAAAAGCGUCUUCAAGAUGCGCUUCUAUCCUUGGUGGGACCUUCGAGUUCCUUUAGGAUAGGGUCGCAUCUUGGGCAAGACAAUCAACCAUCCUCCAUCACCAAUUUCAUGAUGCUCACCGUCGUGCGUGAGUAAUUCCAUCGUAGGCUUGCUAGACGGUGAUGGGUUGGAUGAGAUUUAUCAUGUAGUCGAGUUAGUUUUGUUAGGGUUUGAUCCCUAGUAUCCACUAUGUUCUGAGAUUGAUGUUGCUAUGACUUUGCUAUGCUUAAUGCUUGUCACUAGGGCCCGAGUGCCAUGAUUUUAGAUCUGAACCUAUUAUGUUUUCAUGAAUAUAUGUGAGUUCUUGAUCCUAUCUUGCAAGUCUAUAGUCACCUACUAUGUGUUAUGAUCCGGCAGCCCCGAAGUGACAAUAAUCAAGACCACUCCCGGUGAUGACCAUAGUUUGAGGAGUUCAUGUAUUCACUAUGUGUUAAUGCUUUGGUCCGGUACUCUAUUAAAAGGAGGCCUUAAUAUCCCUUAGUUUCCAUUAGGACCCCGCUGCCACGGGAGGGUAGGACAAAAGAUGUCAUGCAAGUUCUUUUCCAUAAGCACGUAUGACUAUAUUCAGAAUACAUGCCUACAUUACAUUGAUGAAUUGGAGCUAGUUCUGUGUCACCCUAUGUUAUGACUGUUACAUGAUGUACCGCAUCCGGCAUAAUUCUCCAUCACCGAUCCAAUGCCUACGAGAUUUUCACAUAUUGUUCUUCGCUUAUUUACUUUUCCGUUGCUACUGUUACAAUCACUAGAAAACCCAAAAAUAUUACUUUUGCUAUCGUUACCGUUACUUCCAUAUUACUUUGCUACUAAAUACUUUGCUGCAGAUACUAAGUUAUCCAAGUGUGGUUGAAUUGACAACUCAACUGCUAAUACUUGAGAAUAUUCUUUGGCUCCCCUUGUGUUGAAUCAAUAAAUUUGGGUUGAAUACUCUACCCUCGAAACUAUUGCGAUCCCCUAUACUUGUGGGUUAUCAAGACUAACUGCCGCCGUUGCCGGGGAGCAUAGCUCUAUUCUUUGAGUCACUUGGGAUUUAUAUUUGCUAGUCCAUAUGAAGAACUUUAAAGACGCAAAAACAACAAUUUAUCCCUCAACUACGAGGGGAGGUAAGGAACUGCCAUCUAGCUCUGCACUUGAUUCACCUUCUGUUUUGAGUAAGCUUGCGACACCUGAACCUGCUUCUGCUAUUCGUUCUUAUAUGUCGCAUGUUAUUGAUGAUGCCACUUCUGCUGUGCAUGCUACUUAUGACGAAACUACUUCUAUGCUUGAUACUACUGUGCCACUUGGUGAACUUCUUGAUGAACAACUUGCUAGGGCUAGAGAGAAUGAAAUUAUUGAAACUGAUAAUAUUGAAGAUAGUGAUGAUGAAGACUCUCCCCCUAAUAACUAUGAAUUGCAUGUUGUUCCUGAGGGUUAUGUUCUGGAAGAAGGAGCUGCUAGAGCUAUUUUAGCUUGCAAUGAUAGAUAUGAUCUAAAGAGGUUAUUAGCUAAAUGGAAGCAGCGAUCUCUUAAUGCUAGAAUGAAACCUGACCCUGCUUUUGCUACUUCACCUAUCUGUGUUACUGAUAAGGAUUAUGAAUUCUCUGUUGAUCCUGAUAUAAUUACUUUGGUUGAAUCUGGUCCUUUUCAUGGAUAUGAAUCUAAAACUUUUGUGGCACAUAUUACUAAAUUAAAUGAUAUAGCCACCCUGUUCACUAACGAUGAGAGAACCCGCUACUUUUAUAUCCUCAAAAUAUUUCCAUUCUCAUUAAAGGGUGAUGCUAAGAUAUGGUUUAAUUCUCUUGAUCCUGGUUGUGUGCGUAGUCCCCAGGAUAUGAUUUAUUACUUCUCUGCUAAAUAUUUUCCUGCUCAUAAGAAACAAGCUGCUUUAAGGGAUAUAUAUAAUUUUGUGCAAAUUGAAGAAGAGAGUCUCCCACAAGCUUGGGGGAGGCUUCUCCAAUUACUUAAUGCUUUGCCUGAUCAUCCUCUCAAGAAAAAUGAAAUACUUGAUAUCUUUUAUAAUGGACUAACCGAUGCUUCCAGAGAUUACCUAGAUAGUUGUGUUGGUUCUGUUUUCAGGGAAAGAACACCGGAUGAAGCUGAAAUUCUAUUGAAUAAUAUGUUGACAAAUGAAAAUAAUUAGACACUUCCUAAGCCAGCUCCUGAGCCAAUUCCUAAACCAACUCCGAAGAAGAGGGGUGUUCUAUUUCUCAAUCCCGAAGAUAUGCAAGAGGCAAAGAAAUCUAUGAAAGAAAAAUGUAUUAAAGCUGAAGAUAUUAAGAAUUUACCUCCUAUUGAAGAAAUACAUGGUCUUGAUUUACCGCCUGUUGAAGAAACAUAUGAUCCUAAUCCUUCACCUAUUAAAGAAACACAUGGUCUUGAUAACCCGACACAGGUAGUAAAGGUAAAUUCUCUCUAUAGAUUUGACGAAGGUGAUAUUCCUCACUAUAAGUCUGCUAGACAAUGAUUAGAAGAGUUUGAUAAUUUUAUUGUCAAACAAGAAAACUUCAAUGCUUAUUUUGGUAGACAAUUGAAAUACAAUUCCGACAGGCUUGAACACUUGGGUGAUUAUAUGUCUAAUGUUAAAGGUGAACUUAAACUCAUUAGUAAACAUGCUUCUAUGGUUACCAAUCAAGCAGAACAAGUACUUAAAGCUCAAAAUGAUUUGCUCAAUGAAUUGAAUAGUAAGCAAAAUGACUAUGCUAUUAGAGUGGCUACUAGAACUGGUAAAAUGUCUCAGGAACCUUUGUAUCCUGAAGGCCACCCUAGGAGAAUUGACAAGAUUCUCAGAGAAAUAAUAUUGAGGCACCUAGUCCUUCUAAAAGGAAGAAAAAGAAAAAUUAUACGACUUUGCAUGCUUCUAGUGAACCUAUUGCUGAACCACCUGAGAAUCCAAAUGAUAUCUCUAUUUCUCAUGUUGAAACACAAUCUGGUAAUGAACAUGAACCUAGUGAUAAUGUUAAUGAUGAUGUUCAUGUUGAUGCUCAACCUAGUAAUGAUAACGAUGUAGAAAUUGAACCUGCUGUUGAUCUUGAUAACCCACAAUCAAAGAAUCAAUGUUUUGAUAAGAGAGAUUUUGCUACUAGGAAACACGGUAAAGAAAGAGAACCAUGGGUUCAGAAACCCAUGCCUUUUCCUCCCAAACCAUCCAAGAAAAAGGAUGAUGAGGAUUUUGAGCGCUUUGCUGAAAUGAUUAGACCUAUCUUUUUGCGUAUGCGAUAAACUGAUAUGCUCAAAAUGAAUCCUUAUGCUAAGUACAUGAAAGAUAUUGUUACUAAUAAAAGAAAGAUACCGAAAGCUGAAAUUUCCACCAUGCUUGCUAACUACACUUUCAAGGGUGGAAUACCUAAGAAACUAGGAGAUCCAGGAGUACCAACUAUACCAUGCUCCAUUAAAAGAAACUAUGUUAGAACUGCUUUAUGUGAUCUUGGAGCCAGUGUUAGUGUUAUGCCUCUCUCUUUAUAUUGUAGACUUGAUUUGAAUAAGUUAACACCUACUGAAAUAUCUUUGCAAAUGACUGAUAAAUCAACUGCUAUACCUGUCGGUAUUUGUGAGGAUGUGCUUGUUGUGGUUGCAAACGUUACUAUUUUAACGGACUUUGUUAUUCUUGAUAUUUCCGAGGACGAUAGUAUGUCUAUUAUUCUUGGAAGACCCUUUUUGAAUACUACAGGGGCUGUUAUUGAUUGCAACAAAGGCAAUGUCACUUUUCAUGUUAAUGGUAAUGAGCAUACGAUACACUUUCCGAGGAAACAACCUCAAGUUCAUAGUAUCAACUCUAUUGGAAAAUUCCAUCGAUUAUUUUUGGACGUUUGAAUUUCUUCUUCCUACUGUCAAAAAGAAAUACGAUAUUCUUAUUAUUGGGGAUGUGCAUAUCCCCGUUGAGGUAACAUAGUGUUAUUCGAAAUUUCUCCGGUUCCAUGUUAUUCGGAAAGAGUUUGUUAACAAGACUUGAUCAACCUUGUUAGUGGAUUCCUUUUGAUGAGCAUGAGAUGGAGGAAACUAGAAAGCACAACCUUCUGUACCCUCUCUCUACUUUCUGUUAUUUAGUUGAAAUAAAAUAAAAAUAGUAUUUUUCUGUCAGUUUUCUGAUUUAUCCGUGCAAUAUAAAAAUACCCCGAAAAUAAAAGUUCGCCAAAUGCCCUGAAAAUGGAAUAUGAUUUUUUCUGGAAUAUUUGAGAAUAUCUGGCACUGAGAACACAGCAGGGGGAGCAAGCACCUGGCCACGAGGGUCCAGGGCACGCCCACCCCUACAAGGCGCGCCCCCUGCCUCGUGGGCCCAUGGUGGCUCCCCUCCAGUUAUGCCAGCCACCACACACUUCUUCUUACUCCCAAAAAAGUCACCAUCCAGCUCAAGCAUGAGUUCUAGCUCAUUUUGCUGCGAUUUUCGAUCUCCUUGCUCAAAGCACCUCUCACAAAACUGCUUGGGAGGAUUGUUCCUUGGUAUGUGACUCCUCCAUUGGUCCAAUUAGUUUUUGUGUAGUGCUCUAUUCAUUGCAAAUUUGUGCUGCCUAGGUGACCAUGUUCUUGAGCUUGCAUGUCAAAUUUAUAUGGUUGCAAGUACUUGUAAUGCAUGAUAUAGUCUCUAGUCACUUGUAGGAGUAGUUGCUAUCAAUUUUGUUGAGUUUGGUUCACUUUUGUUCGAAGUUACUAAAAAUUUCAGAAUUUUUCAGAAAAUAAUGAAGAGAUUUUUGAGGGGCUCGUCGAGCCGAAGCUCGAUGGAAAAGCAAAGUGAAGAAGCACAGAGGCCCAAAUAUAAUCUUCCUCACACCGCGGAGGUUCGGCCGUGUGAAUGGCCUUCCGAUGAUUUCUUGAGAGAAGCCUGGAUUUAUGAUGAUUUUUAUGAAUUGGCUGAGAAUGCAGGCCUCACCGACUUCCUCCGCGACCAACGUGAACAGUAUCUCUUACUCACCAAUACUUUUGUGCAAAACUUCUACUAUUAUCCUAAGGAAACACCUCCUUCAGUAGAGUUUCAUUUAUAUGAUGUGGCUAAGAAGAUGCCACUAGAUGAAUUUUGCAAGAUUUGCAAAAUACCUUUCGAGGGUAGCUUAGAGGAACCACAUCAUAAAGAUGUGGACGGGUUCAUUGAUACUAUCACUGUAGGGGAAACUAGGAAGGUUUCCGAUGCAAGAAUCACUAGCAUACAUUUUCCUGUUUUACGCUACUUUGCCAUAUUUGCUAGUGGUUGCUUAAUUGUCGCGGAAACUGUGGAAACCUUAGUGUUCCUGAUAUUAUCAUUUUGUUCCAUGGUUUAUUCUGUGAUAACACUGUUAGUAUGGGCGGUAUUAUUGCUAAACGGUUAAGUUUGAACCGUACAAAGGGCCCCAUCUUUGGAGGUAUUUAUGCUUCACGCCUUGCUGCACAUUAUAACAUACCUAUUAGGCACUAUGAAAAAGAAGAAAAAUUGCUGCCCAAUGCUUAUUUAGAUUAUAAGAGUAUGGUAGCACAUGACUUUAUCGUUAAGAAUAGGGAAGGGGCACUUAAAUACAAAUUGUUCUUUGAUAAACAUCACCCUGAGAUUAUUACCUUGCCUGCUCCUUCCUUGUUUGAUUUAUCUGCAGGCCAGUAUCUCGUUCCACUGGCGGCCAUUCACGCCUACCGGAACCCUACACCAGCCAUGGAGCCGGAACCACAAUUCGAACCUCCACGACAGUCUAAUUACCAGUGGGAUCCGGAGAUGAUUUCCAACCAGUGGCAGUUAGAGUCUUCUUCAUCUCAGUACGACCCCGGCUACAAUUAUGGAUAUCCGCCAGGCCAUCCUUGGCAAUAAACCAACUUAGGCCAAAAGCCUAAGCUUGGGGGAGUACAUAUUUCCCACCGACAUUACAUUUACGUUUACACACUCAUUGCUAGAUGUCGGUGCUCAUACUUUUUCACUGUAAUAUCCAUGCUAGUUUAUUUUCCUUUUAUGCUUUCUUCUUGUGUGUCUGAUAAACCUUAGGAAAAACCAAAAAAAAUUAGUAAUAGCUUUAGCUAUUUUACCUUUCUUGCGGUAGUAGUAAUAAUUAAAAAGAAAACCCAAAAAGAUUUCCCGUUCUUCUUUUGCUUGUUGGGAGCUUUCCCGUGUAAAUAGUUUUAUUUCUUUUCUUUUCUUUGGGGGUCGAUAGGAGAAGACCAUAAUUAAAUUGUUGAAGUGGCCCUUAUAUGCAUUAUUGUUGAUUUAACCAAGAGCCCAUAUUGCCUUGUCUUCUCCUGUUUAUUGAAUGCCCGCAGAUUCCAGCUUAGUCCAAUGCACGUGCACUCUUAUUAUUAUUCACAUCAUUCGGUCGUGCAAGUGAAAGGCAAUUAUGACGAUAUAUGAUGAACUGACUGAGAUGAGAGAAGCUGGUAUGAACUCGACCUCUCUUGUUUUUGUAAAUAUGAUUAGUUCAUCGUUCCUGAUUCAGCCUAUUAUGAAUAAACAUGUUUGCAAUGACAAUUAGAGAUUAUAGUUGCUUGUGCCAUGCUUGAUUAGCUAUGAUUUAUAAUGGUUUACCUUGCGUGCCAACAUGCUAUUAAAAUGGUUGUGAUGUGGUAUAGUAGGGUGGUAUCCUCCUUUGAAUGAUUUAAGUGACUCGACUUGGCACAUGUUCACACAUGUAGUUGAAACAAAUCAACAUAGCCUUCACGAUAUUUAUGUUCAUGGUGGAUUAUAUCCUACUCAUGCUUGUACUCAAUGUUUAUUAAUUUUAAUGCAUAUUCAUGACUGUUGUCGCUCUCUAGUUGGUCGCUUCCCAGUCUUUUUCUAGCCUUCACUUGUACUAAGCGGUUAUACUGCUUGUGCAUCCAGUCCCUUAAACCUGAAAGUUAUUCCAUAUGAGUCCACUAUACCUUCCUAUUGCGGUAUCUACCUGCCGUUCCAAGUAAAUUUGUAUGUGCCAAACUCUAAACGUUCAAAUGAAAUUCUGUUUUGUAUGCUCGAAUAGCUCAUGUAUCAACUAGGGCUGUCCGUAUCUUCCAUGUUAGGCGGGUUAUUCUCAAGAGGAGUGGACUCCGCUUCUCACUCACGAGAAAAUGGCUGGUCACCGGGAUGCCCAGUUCCAUGCUUUAUGCAAACUAAGUCGAAAUAAUUGCAAACAAAACUCCCCCUGGGACUGUUGCUAGUUGGAGGCACUCGUUGUUUCGAGCAAGCCAUGGAUUGAUGCUUGUUGGUGGAGGGGGAGUAUAAACUUUACCAUUCUAUUUGGGAACCGCCUAUAAUGUGUGUAGCAUGGAAGAUAUCGCCAUCUCUUGGUUGUAAUGUUGACAAUGAAAGUAUGCCGCUCAAAAUAUUAUUUAUCUCUAUUUCAAAACCGAGCUCUGGCACCUCUACAAAUCCCCGCUUCCCUCUGCGAAGGGCCUAUCUAUUUACUUUUAUGUUGAGUCAUCACCCUCUUAUUAAAAAGCACUAGCUGGAGAGCACUGCUGUCAUUUGCAUCCAUUACUAUUAAUUUAUAUUGGGUAUGACUAUGACUGGAUCUCUUUUACCAUGAAUUACAAUGUCUAGUCAGUCCUUGAUCCUUACAGGUGCUCUGCAUUUAUCUUUUGCGGUCUCAGAAAGGGCUAGCGAGAUACCAUCUUGUUAUAUCAUAUUAUGAUUGUUUUGAGAAAGUGUUGUCAUCCGAGAUUUAUUAUUAUGGCUCAAUAGUUGAUUAUGCCAUUGAUAUGAGUAAACAUGAGACCUAAGAGUUAUUGUGAAUGUGGUUAGUCAUAAUCUUUGCUGAAAACUUGAAUGCUGGCUUUACAUAUUUACAACAACAAGAGAAAACAGAGUUUGUAAAAGUUUUUCUUUAUCACUUUCAGUUUAUCAACUGAAUUGCUUGAGGACAAGCAAAGGUUUAAGCUUGGGGCAGUUGAUACGUCUCCGUCGUAUCUACUUUUCCAAACACUUUUGCCCUUGUUUUGGACUCUAACUUGCAUGAUUUGAAUGGAACUAACCCAUACUGACGAUGUUUUCAGCAGACUUUCCAUGGUGUUAUUUAUGUGCAGAAACAAAAGUUCUCGGAAUGACUUGAAACUCCACGGAACGUAUUUUUUGAAAAUAUUAAAAAUACUGGAAGAAGAAUCCACGUCAGGGGGCCCACACCCUGUCCACGAGGGUGGGGGGCGCGCCCCCUGCCUCGUGGGCCCCCUGACGCUCCACCGACCUCAACUUCAACUCGAUAUAUUCACUUUCGGGGAGAAAAAAAUCAGAGAGAAGGAUCCAUUACGUUUUACGAUACGGAGCCGCCGCCAAGCCCUAAAACCUCUCGGGAGGGCUGAUCUGGAGUCCGUUCGGGGCUCCGGAGAGGGGGAUUCGUCGCCGUUGUCAUCAUCAACCAUCCUCCAUCAGCAAUUUCAUGAUGCUCACCGCCGUGCGUGAGUAAUUCCAUCGUAGGCAUGCUGGACGGUGAUGGGCUGGAUGAGAUUUAUCAUGUAAUCGAGUUAGUUUUGUUAGGGUUUGAUCCCUAGUAUCCACUAUGUUCUGAGAUUGAUGUUGCUAUGACUUUGCUAUGCUUAAUGCUUGUCACUAGGGCCCGAGUGCCAUGAUUUCAGAUCUGAACCUAUUAUGUUUUCCUGAAUAUAUGUGAGUUCUUGAUCCUAUCUUGCAAGUCUAUAGUCACCUACUAUGUGUUAUGAUCCGGCAACCCCGAAGUGACAAUAAUCGGGACCACUCCCAGUGAUGACCAUAGUUUGAGGAGUUGAUGUAUUCACUAUGUGUUAAUGCUUUGGUCCGGUACUCUAUUAAAAGGAGGCCUUAAUAUCCCUUAGUUUCCAUUAGGACCCCGCUGCCACGGGAGGGUAGGACAAAAGAUGUCAUGCAAGUUCUUUUCCAUAAGCACGUAUGAGUAUAUCCGGAAUACAUGCCUACAUUACAUUGAUGAAUUGGAGCUAGUUCUGUGUCACCCUAUGUUAUGACUAUUACGUGAUAAACCGCAUCCGGCAUAAUUCUCCAUCACCGAUCCAAUGCCUACAAGAUUUUCACAUAUUGUUCUUCGCUUAUUUACUUUUCCGUUGCUACUACUACAAUCGCUACAAAACCCAAAAAUAUUACUUUUGCUAUCGUUACCGUUACUUCCAUAUUACUUUGCUACUAAAUACUUUGCUGCAGAUACUAAGUAAUCCAGGUGUGGUUGAAUUGAUAACUCAACUGCUAAUACUUGAGAAUAUUCUUUGGCUCCCCUUGUGUCGAAUCAAUAAAUUUGGGUUGAAUACUCUACCCUCGAAAACUGUUGCGAUCCCCUAUACUUGUGGGUUAUCAAUGCCCUCCCGUAUCCCACGCGUCGGCCACCUACCCCGCACCAUGCAUGCGGCGUAGGUGGCGAAAAAGGCGACCGUAGUGGGAAGCGUGGAACAACGAUUAUCGUCCUGUGAAUAAAGGUUGUUCACGGGCCACCGCAAGCACAGACGACGGGAAGAUUACAGCAAUUAUUCCCUUCCAUGCAUGCCCGCGCACUGUUUGGGCCUGGCCCAACGACGCCUCGCACUCGUGUGUGGCCCAGGCCCGGGGGCUCCUGUCGGUGUACUAAAGUUUGGGCCUUUUGCACCGCAGAGUUGUGCACAAGCAGUCGUAACCCCACGCAUGGCAAAGCGCGAAGAGGGCGAUAUAGGACAGAUACAAGACAAAGAAAAACAACCAAGUCAGAGAACAUAGGACGAGUUCGAUCCCCGACAAGGGCCUUGUCGGGGCAGCCUGCGAGACCCCAGCAAGUUCCUUGCCGGGACGACUUACAGAGCACCACCCUUGUGGUUGAGAGCUCUGACACCAUCGACAACCUUAAGGCCAGAAUCCAAGGGCACGCACGUAGUGGCAUGCAGAUCUUUGUGAAGGCGAGAAGAUGAGACGCCAGCAAGAUCCCUGCCGAGGACACCCACGAGGCCCCGGCAAGAUCCUUGUCGAGGACGCCCACGAGGCCCCGGCAAGAUCCUUGCCGGGGACAUCGGCAAGACCAUGGCCAGACUCGGUUGCCCAGUCACCACUCCAGUGCGGGGGCUGACCUACCAGCCUGGCAGGCGCCCGCGUGGUGGCAUGCGGAUCUUCCUGAAGACCCUGCACUAGUAGAAAAAGGGCCUAUUGUCCCGGUUGGUAAGGGCCUUUUGUCCCGGUUUUUGAACUGGGACUAAAGGGUCGUUACUAAUUCCCUAACCCUUUAGUCCCGGUUCUUACACGAACCGGGACAGAUGGGCCUCCACGUGGCCAGUGCGGCAAGCCCAGGCAGGAGGGCCUUUGGUCCCGGUUGGUGGCACUAACCGGGACCAAUAGGCAUCCACGCGUCAGCAUUUUAGUGGCUGGGGUUUUUGUUUUUUUGAAAGGGGGGGCGUUGGGGGGUUAAUUUAGGUGUUUCAUAUAUUGUGUUAGCUAGCUAAUUAAUAGAGAGAAGUGUCCUCUCUUAUCUCCGUGCUUGGUCGACGCUACGUACUAUAUACAUAUGGAGAGGACUAGACACGCUAGCUAGUAAUCAAAUGAAGGAAACAGAAGAUCGUCAUGAACAUAUGCAUACAGAGAGAAGUGACAUCGACCACCUCUCCUUCUCCGAGAGAUUGGUCGAACAACAAGUUCUCGUAUAUCUAUCCGACACUACCGGCUACAUAUAUACAAUAAUUAUCUCUUACAAUAUAAUCUCCUAAUUAAAUUGUAAGAACACAGGGUCCACAUAGUAUUCUCCAUUUUCAGCGAUCACGUAGUCAAGGAAGAAUGCCGCCAAUUCCUCUUGAAUUGCUCGCAUACGAUCUGGUGCUUGGAGUUCAUCCCGCAUCCGAAAGAUCUAAUUUGAAGAAGGGGGUCCAUACAUAUAUAUAUGAAUAAAUGAAACUCAACACAAAUGAUGGUAAUAAAAUAAAAUUGUGAAUAUUAUUGCUUACGCACUUCAUAUUGUUCGUCAGAGUAGCCCCGCUCACAAGUCGUGUAGCGGAUGGACUCGCAAACGUAGUAUCCACAAUAAUUAUUCCCGGGUUCCUGCCACAACCACUUUACAAGAAAUAGAGGUCAAUCAAACUGAUAAGCAAGCAUGCUAAAUGGUAUUGAUGAAACUGGCGCUUGAAUCACUAGGAGAUGCGCGGAACAUGCUACUAUAUUACUUACUUUCGGGUGUUUAAAUUGCAGCUUCUUCGGCAGUCCCGGAGCUUUUUUGGUGAAUUUUCUCCAAACCCUGCCAGACAAAGAAAACAAUUACUUGAUAUCAGGAAAUGAACAAAUUUGCUGAUAUGGUGGAUAAUGAUCGAUUUAACUUACUUCUCGAGCAUUUGAGUCAUGUCCGCAUAGUCCUGGGGAUCUUUUCGUCUCGAGUCUAAGACGGUUACUACUCCCUGCUCAAGCUUAAUCUCUGGAGAAUAUAGUGGAAGCUACGCAUGCAUGCAUAAGUCAUCAAUUACAUUACUAUAACCUGGACUAAUAAGGGAAACCGAAUAUGCACAAGACAGUAACACUCACUUGAAGUUGUAAGGAAAGAGUAUUAUAUCUUUGUUUUCAUUUAUUACUAACGAUCGUAGCAAGUUGGCCUCGGUAUUUUCGGCAUGAUAUUUAACCUGAGUUGCAUCUAUGAGAUUUGUGUUAAUGAACCCAAUAUCACCGAUUUGUCUUUUCUGCAUAUCAUUGACAUAAGACACCUCAGGGCCUUCCUUCUUAGGCUUAUACCAUUGGUGGAUGCUGAUCGGGAUCUUGUCCCUAACAAGAACCCCGCACUGAGCAGCAAAUGCAUCCUUUGUCCGGAUGGGUUCAAUCGGUUGGUCGUCGCGCGCGAUUGCUGUGAUCUCAAACCUUUCAUCCGAGCGCAACUUUCUCUUCAGGCCUCGUCUCUUUACCAAAGUUGUGCUCGAUCCGGAGGGCUAGAAAAAAGAAGAAAGACGAGAGUUAAUGAAUAUGUGUACAUACCAAAACAAUGAAUGCAUCAAUUAGCUAGUCAGCACAGGCUUAACUAAUAUAUUUACCUGGCCGGACUCUGUUCGGUCACCGGAGCCGUCACCACGGGCUCCUUCUUGCACCAGCAUUGGGUCACCGGAGCCAUCAUAAUCAUGUCUUUCCUCCUCCACUCUUUGAUCACUGUAGCCUGCUUCUUCACCCUGUUCUUCUAGACCAUCAUUGUCGUUAAGAUACGACAAGAUAUCAUCUCCGGCUAAGAUAAUGUCCCCCAACACCUCUUCUGCUUGCUCGUCUCGUCCGUGCUCCAUUGUUUCUGCAAAUAUUACAACAUGGCAAUUAUUACACAAACAUGAUAACAGGUGGAUAUAUUAGUGCAAACAUAGACCUAGCUUAUUCCGGGUUUGGGGUGGCCUCGGCAACGCUUCAAGGGUAGGGGCGCGGCGGGAGGGGGUAGGAGACUGACAUCGUUUUUUUCUAGGGUUUGGGUGUCCUCGAGAGUUUUGGUCGAGCGAGAGGGCUGGGGGGUGCUCCCGUGGUAUAAGUUAUCACGGUCGAGAGGGGUUAUAAAUAUCGACCGUCCAUCAUGUCGAAGUUAUCUGGGAGGGAGUUAUAUAUAUCGACAACGACGACAUACAUACAUGAGAAAAUAAUGUUAUCGGGGAGGGGGUAUAUCGACAACGACAUACCCAAUAAAAAUUAAGAAGACGAAGAAGAAAUAAAAGGAGGAGAAGAAGAAAGGAAUAGAGGAGAAGAUCGAAGAAAAAAAGAAGAAAAAGAAGAGGAGAAGAAGAAAAAAUAGAUAUAUCUAUUUUUUCUUCUUCUCCUCUAUUCCUUUCUUCUUCUCCUCUUCUUUUUCUUCUUUUUCCCUCUUCUUAUUUAUUUCUCCUCUUCUUCCUCUCCUCUUCUUAUUUUUGUUUUUCCUCUCCUUCUUUUUCUUCUUCUUCCUUUCCUAGCUAGAUACAUAAAACUUUUCUAAAAAUGUAACUUUUGCAUAUAUAAAACUUUUCCUAACUCUUUUACAACCACAAAAAUUACUCCAACUUCAUGACAGUACCCACACUCCAUUUCACCAAAAACCUUCUGAUCCAUAGUUCAAAAUUUUCAAAUUUCAUUCAAAUGAAAUUUGAACCAGAUUCAAAUUCCUUGCUGAAAACCUAUUCAAAUUCCUUUCUAAAAAUCUAACUUUUGCAUAUAUGUAUUUUUAAAACAUCAUUACAGUUGAAAAAAAUACAUACAUACAUACAAAAACAUGUAAAAAAAUACAUACAUACAUAUAUGAACAUACAUAAAAAAUACAUAUAUCUAAAAAAUAUAUUUAAAACAUCAUUACAGUCGGCGACGGCGAGGGUGCGGGCGACGGCGACGACGGGCGCGGGCGAGGGCGCGGCGACGGCGAGGGUGUGGNNNNNNNNNNNNNNNNNNNNNNNNNNNNNNNNNNNNNNNNNNNNNNNNNNNNNNNNNNNNNNNNNNNNNNNNNNNNNNNNNNNNNNNNNNNNNNNNNNNNNNNNNNNNNNNNNNNNNNNNNNNNNNNNNNNNNNNNNNNNNNNNNNNNNNNNNNNNNNNNNNNNNNNNNNNNNNNNNNNNNNNNNNNNNNNNNNNNNNNNNNNNNNNNNNNNNNNNNNNNNNNNNNNNNNNNNNNNNNNNNNNNNNNNNNNNNNNNNNNNNNNNNNNNNNNNNNNNNNNNNNNNNNNNNNNNNNNNNNNNNNNNNNNNNNNNNNNNNNNNNNNNNNNNNNNNNNNNNNNNNNNNNNNNNNNNNNNNNNNNNNNNNNNNNNNNNNNNNNNNNNNNNNNNNNNNNNNNNNNNNNNNNNNNNNNNNNNNNNNNNNNNNNNNNNNNNNNNNNNNNNNNNNNNNNNNNNNNNNNNNNNNNNNNNNNNNNNNNNNNNNNNNNNNNNNNNNNNNNNNNNNNNNNNNNNNNNNNNNNNNNNNNNNNNNNNNNNNNNNNNNNNNNNNNNNNNNNNNNNNNNNNNNNNNNNNNNNNNNNNNNNNNNNNNNNNNNNNNNNNNNNNNNNNNNNNNNNNNNNNNNNNNNNNNNNNNNNNNNNNNNNNNNNNNNNNNNNNNNNNNNNNNNNNNNNNNNNNNNNNNNNNNNNNNNNNNNNNNNNNNNNNNNNNNNNNNNNNNNNNNNNNNNNNNNNNNNNNNNNNNNNNNNNNNNNNNNNNNNNNNNNNNNNNNNNNNNNNNNNNNNNNNNNNNNNNNNNNNNNNNNNNNNNNNNNNNNNNNNNNNNNNNNNNNNNNNNNNNNNNNNNNNNNNNNNNNNNNNNNNNNNNNNNNNNNNNNNNNNNNNNNNNNNNNNNNNNNNNNNNNNNNNNNNNNNNNNNNNNNNNNNNNNNNNNNNNNNNNNNNNNNNNNNNNNNNNNNNNNNNNNNNNNNNNNNNNNNNNNNNNNNNNNNNNNNNNNNNNNNNNNNNNNNNNAUGAUUUUGAACAGAAAGUACUUCGAUAAUUUUAGUUGCAUCGAUUUUAUAUGAUUUUAGUUUCAAUAAUACUAGAGGUUUCUUAUAAUGUUUUGAACAGAAAAUACUUUGUUAAUUUUAGUUUCAUAAAUUUUAUUAAAGUUCAUUUCAUUUUGUUUCUACUUAUAUAUUUUAAUAAAGUUUAUAUUAUUUUGUUUCUAAUUACUUAUUUAUUUUAUUAGUUAUUUUUCAUGCAUUUACUAAUUAUUUUGAGCUAUAAGACCCUAAAAUUGAAAAGCAUUUCAAAUGAACUCUGAAAAGGUUGAAAGUUGGCAUGGUAUCAUCAUUUCAUCCACAUAGCAUGUGCAAGAAAGUUGAGAGGGUUACGGCAAAAACUAGAUGCACUUCGUGUACAAAACGGACAAUGUAUCAUACUCGUAUGUUACAAAGUUGGCAUGGUAUCAUCAUAAUAGUUGCGGGAGAAAGUCUUCACUUUUUCUUCGCUUGUGUCAUUUGCUUAUUGCGCCGUAACCAUGGAUAAUCUUCAUCGUUUAUCAGGAUGCUUGGGUCAGCCUUGACUUUGAAGGGAGGAAUUUCAUGAAACUUUUCAUAAUCUUCAGACAUGUCUGUCUUGCCCUCCACUCCCACAAUGUCCCUUUUUCCUGAAAGAACUAUGUGGCGCUUUGGCUCAUCGUAUGAUGUACUCGCUUCCUUAUCUUUUCUUUUUCUCGGUCUGGUAGACAUGUCCUUCACAUAGAUAACCUGUGCCACAUCAUUGGCUAGGACGAACGGUUCGUCAGUGUACCCAAGAGUGUUCAGAUCCACUCUUGUCAUUCCGUACUGUGGGUCUACCUGUACCCCGCCUCCUGACAGAUUGACCCAUUUGCACUUAAACAAAGGGAUCUUAAAAUCAUGUCCGUAGUCAAGUUCCCAUAUGUCCAUUAUGUAACCAUAAUACAUGUCCUUUCCCCUCUCGGUUGCUGCAUCAAAGCGGACACCGCUGUUUUGGUUGGUGCUCUUUUGAUCUUGGGCGAUCGUGUAAAAUGUAUUCCCAUUUAUCUCGUAUCCUUUGUAAGUCAAUACAGUCGAAGAUGGUCCCCUGGACAACAAGUACAACUCAUCACAAACAGUGGUGUCACCUCUGAGACGUGUUUCCAACCAACUGCUGAAAGUCCUGAUGUGUUCACAUGUAAUCCAGUGGUCACACUGCUCCAGGUGUUUGGAGCGCAGACUGUUCUUGUGUUCAUCGACAUACGGGGUCACCAAGGUAGAGUUCUGUAGAACUGUGUAGUGUGCUUGAGACCAAGAAUGCCCGUCCCUGCACAUUAUUGAGUCCGCUCCUAGCGUGCAUUUUUUAGUCAGUCUCCCCUCAUACUGCGAUUUAGGGAGACCUAUCUUCUUAAGGCCAGGAAUGAAGUCAACACAAAACCCAAUGACAUCCUCUGUUUGAUGGCCCAUGGAGAUGCUUCCUUCUGGCCUAGCGCGGUUACGGACAUAUUUCUUUAGGACUCCCAUGAACCUCUCAAAGGGGAACAUAUUGUGUAGAAAUACGGGCCCCAGAAUGACAAUCUCGUCGACUAGAUGAACUAGUACGUGCGUCAUGAUAUUGAAGAAGGAUGGUGGGAACACCAGCUCGAAACUGACAAGACAUUGCGCCACAUCACUCCUUAGCCUUGGUAUGAUUUCUGGAUCGAUCACCUUCUGAGAGAUUGCAUUGAGGAAUGCACAUAGCUUCACAAUGGCUAAUCGGACGUUUUCCGGUAGAAGCCCCCUAAAUGCAACCGGAAGCAGUUGCGUCAUAAUCACGUGGCAGUCAUGAGACUUUAGGUUUUGGAACUUUUUCUCUGGGAUAUUUAUUAUUCCCUUUAUAUUCGACGAGAAGCCAGUCGGGACCUUCAUACUGAGCAGGCAUUCAAAGAAGAUUUCUUUCUCUUCUUUCGUAAGAGCGUAGCUGGCAGGACCUUGAUACUGCUUCGGAGGCAUGCCGUCUUUUUCGUGCAAACGUUGCAGGUCAUCACGUGCCUCAGGUGUAUCUUUUGUCUUCCCAUACACGCCCAAGAAGCCUAGCAGGUUCACGCAAACGUUCUUCGUCACGUGCAUCACGUCGAUUGAAGAGCGGACCUCUAGGUCUUUCCAGUAGGGUAGGUCCCAAAAUAUAGAUUUCUUCUUCCACAUGGGUGCGUGUCCCUCAGCGUCAUUCGGAACAGCUAGUCCGCCGGGACCCUUUCCAAAGAUUACGUGUAAAUUAUUGACCAUAGCAAGUACGUGAUCACCGGUACGCAUGGCGGGCUUCUUCUGGUGAUCUGCCUCGCCUUUGAAAUGCUUGCCUUUCUUUCGAGAUUGAUGGUUGGUCCGAAGAAAUCGACGAUGGCCCAGGUACACAUUCUUCCUGCAUUUUUCCAGGUAUAUACUUUCAGUGUCAUCUAAAUAGUGCGUGCAUGCGUGGUAUCCCUUGUUUGUCUGUCCUGAAAGGUUACUGAGAGCGGGCCAAUCAUUGAUGGUUACAAACAGCAACGCGUGCAGGUUAAAUUCCUCCUAUUUGUGCUCAUCCCACGUACGUACACCGUUUCCAUUCCACAGCUGUAAAAGUUCUUCAACUAAUGGCCUUAGGUACACAUCAAUGUCGUUGCCGGGUUGCUUAGGGCCCUGGAUGAGAACUGGCACCAUAAUGAACUUCCGCUUCAUGCACAUCCAAGGAGGAAGGUUAUACAUACAUAGAGUCAUGGGACAGGUGCUGUGAUUGCUGCUCUGCUCCCCGAAAGGAUUAAUGCCAUCCGCGCUUAAACCAAACCAUACGUUCCUUGGGUGAGCUGCAAACUCGGCCCAGUACUUUCUCUCGAUUUUUCUCCACUGCGACCCGUCAGCGGGUGCUCUCAACUUCCCGUCUUUCUUACGGUCCUCACUGUGCCAUCGCAUCAACUUGGCAUGCUCUUCGUUUCUGAACAGACGUUUCAACCGUGGUAUUAUAGGAGCAUACCACAUCACCUUCGCAGGAACCCUCUUCCUGGGGGGCUCGCCGUCAACAUCACCAGGGUCAUCUCGUCUGAUCUUAUACUGCAAUGCACCGCAUACCGGGCAUGCGUUCAGAUCCUUGUACGCACCGCGGUAGAGGAUGCAGUCAUUAGGGCAUGCAUGUAUCUUCUGCACCUCCAUUCCUAUAGGGCAUACGACCUUCUUUGCUGCGUAUGUACUGUCAGGCAAUUCGUUAUCCUUUGGAAGCUUCUUCUUCAAUAUUUUCAAUAGCUUCUCAAAUCCUUUGUCAGGCACAGCAUUCUCUGCCUUCCACUGCAGCAAUUCCAGUACGGUACCGAGCUUUGUGUUGCCAUCUUCGCAAUUGGGGUACAACCCUUUUUUGUGAUCCUCUAACAUGCGAUCGAACUUCAGCUUCUCCUUUUGACUUUCACAUUGCAUCCUUGCAUCGACAAUGACCCAGCGGAGAUCAUCAUCAUCGGGCACUGGUUCCUCUUGAUCUUCAACAGCUUCCCCCCUUGCAACAUCAUUGGGCACAUUGUCUGGUUCCUCUUGAUCUUCAGCAGCUUCCCCCGUUGCAGCAUCACCGUAUUCAGGGGGCACAUAGUUGUCAUCGUCCUCUUCUUCUUCGCCGUCUUCCAUCAUAACCCAUAUUUCUCCGUGCCUCGUCCAAACAUUAUAGUGUGGCAUGAAACCCUUGUAAAGCAGGUGGGUGUGAAGGAUUUUCCGGUCAGAGUAAGACUUCGUAUUCCCACAUGUAGGGCAUGGACAACACAUAAAACCAUUCUGCUUGUUUGCCUCAGCCACUUCGAGAAAAUCAUGCACGCCCUUAAUGUACUCAGAGGUGUGUCUGUCACCGUACAUCCAUUGCCGGUUCAUCUGCGUGCAUUAUAUAUAAUUAAGUGUGUCAAAAACCAUUACAGACCAUCAUGAAUAGAUAAUUAAGUGACCAAAUUAAUAGAAGUUCAUAAUCACAUUAAAACCAAAGUACAUACAUAGUUCUCAUCUAACAACAUAUAGCUCUCCAGAGCAUCUAAUUAAUUAAACCAUACAUUGAAACUAUGUAAAACAUUUCAAUGCUAAAACAAAUGCGAUCAUAAUCGCAACCAAGGUAACAAUUGAUCCAACGGCAUAAUGAUACCAAGCCUCGGUAUGAAUGGCAUAUUUUCUAAUCUUUCUAAUCUUCAAGCGCAUUGCAUCCAUCUUGAUCUUGUGAUCAUCGACGACAUCCGCAACAUGCAAAUCCAAUAUCAUCUUCUCCUCCUCAAUUUUUUUAUUUUUCCUUCAAUUAAUUGUUUUCUUCUUCAACUAAAUUUAACCUCUUGACAAUAGGGUCGGUUGGAAUUUCCGGUUCAACCACCUCAUAGAUAAAUAAAAUCUAUGUCAUGUUGGUCGGCAUAUUUGUCAUAAACAAUAAAUGAACCAAAUAGUUAUAAAAAGAUAAUAUAUACCACAUCCGAAUCAUAGACAGGACGAGGGCCGACGGGGGCGGAUACCAGGACCAUCGCACUAUGUAAUAAGAAGGAAUAAUAAAAGUAACAAAAUUAGACAAGUAUCUAUCUAAAGUAAGAAUUUUUUUCUUUCAGAAAGAAGAUAAGAACAAGAGGCUCAACACGGUGGUGCUGGCGACGAGAUCGGCGCGGGCGACGAGAUCGGCGCGGGCGAUCGACGGCGGUGAAGACAGGGACGGGACGUGACGGGCCGCUAAACCUAGACAAAUCUCGGGGAAAAUGGAGCUCGGAGGUCGAGUUUCGAGAGGAGAAAGAUUAACUAGUGUGACUCAGACAUUUCAUCGAACACCUCAUGUGCAUAGGAGGUGAGCUAGAGCACCCAAAUGCCCUUCCCUCGCCGGCCAGAAAAAACAGAGCACUGUGGAGUGCUCUGCUGUGGCGAUGGGGUAUAUAUAGGCAACUCAUUUGUCCCGGUUCAUGGUAGAAACCGGGACUAAAGCUCAGCCUUCUGUCCCGGUUCGAGCCACGAACCGGGACCAAUGAUUGUGGGCCAGGGGCGAGGACCAUUGGUCCUGGUUCGUGCCUAGAACCGGGACAAAUGGGUCCAUACGAACCGGGACCAAUGCCCACGAGGCCCCGGCCGCCCCCCUGGGCUCACGAACCAGGACGAAUGCCCCCAUCGGUCCCGGUUCGUGACUGAACCGGGACUAAUUGGCUUGCCAUUUCCGAACGAAAGCCCUGUUUUCUAGUAGUGCUGCCACCUCUCCAACGGAGCAGCUGGCUAGCUGUCUCGGUUUUCAAUGAAGAGGUUAUGGGUUCGAGUCCAGGGCCCCCCUUUUUUCGUUUUCUUUUGCACACACGCACACUUGCGCCCGAUUCCACUUCUGGCCGCUGCACUCUAAUGAUUCUCACCCGUGCUUUUUUUCCCCUCUGCCUGUGGAUUUUCGUUAUUUUCCAGGGCAUUGCAUAAUUACAGUUUUGCCACUGUUUUGUAAUGGUCAUAUCUAAAUACCCAUGCAUCCAAAGGAAACAAGUCAUAUAUGUAAAAUGCUUAGAAUUUUGUCUAGUUUCAUAAUAUGCAACUUUCAUCCAUGCUUAAAAUGUUUAAAUUUCUGUUUGCUCUUAAUUUGCUAAAUGACAUGCUAAAAUGGUUUAAUUCAUAUCUAGAUAACCGUAGCUCCGUUUUAAAUAAACUUUAUAUGUAAAUGGGGUAGAAAAAUGCAUAGAUUGACAUGGUGCACUUUAUUUUGCUGUUUAACAACUUUAAAAUUGUGUAUAGGGCAGGACAGUACCAAAUUCGAAAUAUGCAUAUGAGGAUUUUCUGGAAUUGUUGUUUGUUGUUCCGGCCUCAUUUAAACUUGCUUCACCUCUUGCCAUGUUAUCCAACAUUUAAUCUUGACAUGCAUCAUACUUGGUUGUGCAUCAUGCCAUGUUUAUGUGAUGGUUGUUUACCAUGUUGUUUGCUUGUUUCCGGUGCUUCUUCUUCUUGAUAGUUCCGUUAAUGUUGCGAUUGAGAGGAUCCGUUCGGCUACGUUGCUUCAUCUACUUUAUGGACUCGUUCUUCUUCCUAGCGGGAUUUCAGGCAAGAUGACCGUCACUUUGGAUCUCAUUACUAUCAUUGCUAUGCUAGUUGACUCGAUGCUAUCGCUAUGCCGCGUUACCUGCCACUUGCUUAUCGAGCCUCCCAAAUUGCCAUGAACCUCUAACCUUUGUCAACCUUCCUAGCAAACCGUUGUUUGGCUAUGUUACCGCAUUUUCUCACCCCGUCUUAUAGUGUUGCUAGUUGCAGGUGAAGAUGAAGAUUGCUCCAUGUUGGAUUAUGUUUAUGUUGGGAUAUCACAAUAUCUCUUAUAUUAUUAAUGCAUCUAUAUACUUGGUAAAGGGUGGAAGGCUCGGCCUUAUGCCUGGGGUUUUGUUGCACUCUUGCCGUCCUAGUUUCCGUCAUAUCGGUAUUAUGUUCCCAGAUUUUGCGUCCCUAAUGCGGUUGGGUGUUAUGGGAACCCCUUGACAGUUUGCCUUGAAUAAAACUCCUCCAGCAAGGCCCAACAUUGGUUUUACCAUUUGCCUACCUACCACCUAUACCUUUCCCUUGGGAGUAAUUAACCCGAGUGUGUUCUUUAUUUUAGCCCCCCCGGGCCAAUGCUUCUCUAAGUGUUGGUCUGAACUAGAGCCCCUUGCAGCACCACCUCGGGGAAACUCGAGGGCUGGUUUUAGUUGUACGGACUGCUCAUCUGGUCGUGGCCUGAGACGAGAUACGCACGGCUACUAUCAGGGUGUCGGCACGCCGGGAGGUCUUGCUGGUCUUGUUUUACCAUUGUCGAAAUGUCUUGUAACCGGGAUUCUGAGACUCAUCGGGUCUUCCCGGGAGAAGGAAUAUCCUACGUUGAUCGUGAGAGCUUAUCAUGGGCUAAGUUGGAACAUCCUUGCAGUUUUUGAACUUUCGAAAGCCGUGCCCGCGGUUAUGUGGCAGAUGGGAAUUUGUUAAUGUCCGGUUGUAGUAAACUUGAAGUAAACUCUUCUAAAAUACACCAACCGCGUGCGUAACCGUGAUUGUCUCUUUUCGGGGUUGUUCGAGAGGAGAACAUGGUUUUUGGGUUAUGUUUGGCGUAAGUAGGAGUUCAGGAUCACUUCUUGAUCAUUACUAGUUGACGUCUGCUUGUUCAGCUCCUCUUCUCGCUCUUGUAUUCGUAAGUUAGCCACCAUACAUGCUUAGUCGCUGCUGCAACCUCACCACUUUACCCUUUACUUACCCAUUAAGCUUUGCUAGUCUUGAUACCCAUGGUAAUGGGAUUGCUGAGUCCUCGUGGCUCACAGUUUACUACAACAACAGUUGCAGGUACAGGUUAUGCGAUGAUCAUGACGUGAGAGCGAUGUUUAUUUGAGUUGGAGUUCUUCUUCUUCUUUGUCGAUAUUAUGUUAGGUUCCUGGUCGGCGGCCUGGGCUAGCAGGGUGGAUAUUGUUUGAGUUUCUGUUUGUGUUUCAUCCGUAGUCGGAUGUUGAUCUCUUGUAUGAUGUUGAUGCAUUCUUGGGGCGUUUAUGCCUUUUGUAUGUAUCCCCAAAUAUUAUGUAAUGGUACGAUGUAAUGAUAUCCACCUUGCAAAAGCAUCUUCAAGAUGCGCUUCUAUCCUUGGUGGGACCUUCGAGUUCCUUUAGGAUAGGGUCGCAUCUUGGGCAUGACAAGUUGGUAUCAGAGCCUCGACCGACCAUAGGAGCCCCCUUGACAAAUCGUGUAGUUGGCCGUUGUCGAGUCUAGAAAAAAAACUUUUUCAGAGUCUAGUUAUAUCGGAGAGUAGGAAUUCUUUUUACUCCUCAGCCCCCUUCGUCGCUCUGGUGAGAAAUCCGGACGUAGGUGUUUCGACUUACUUCUCUUCCCCUUCAAAUUUUUCUUUAGGAUCACGCGGUUAGUUUUCGUUCGUUGUCCAUCCUCUUUUCAAUCCGGCACAUUUCUCUUCAAGUGGUUUUGAUCCUCGUCAUCUUUUGCAAGAUCAGUCGUCAGUUUUUUUCUCUUUCGACAUUGUUUCCUUGUCCGGAGUUGUCCUUUUUUUUCCACCGUCCCACCCCUUCUUCUUCUUGGAACCGGAGUCUGAAAUCGAGUAUCCAUCCUACUCGUGCCAAGCCUUUGCAUUCUCUACUCAAUCAACCGGCGCUUCUCUAUUCAAUUAUUCGUCGUUCCAGUUGCCUGUGUUUUUCCCGCCCUCCCACCCUUUUUAUUCCAGGAGUCUGAGCCUCUAUUCGAGCAUCAAUUUCAUUCGUGCAGAGUAUCUUCAGUCUUUCCUCAAUAGUCUCAACCGGUGAAUUCUUGUCUAGUUAAUCAUCGUUUUUCUCGUUUCCCUUUCGGUGGUUUCAAUUCAAGUUUUUUUUGCUGUUCAUCAUAUUCCUUUCCUCAACUCAAGUGUUUUCCUUUGUUUGUUCGUCUCUCGCCAUUUAAUCCUUCCGGAGUGCUCAAAACAUCUCAGAAGAUUCGUGUUUGCAUUCAAUUAUUUCGAGGUUGUCACCUCAUUCAAGUCUUUCAGCUGUUCCAGUGCAUCAUCUCUUCUACAAUCCUUCCAACGGUGUUUCUUUGCAAUGGGACCUAACCCACAGGUCUUUUCCCAGGAUCUUACCUGACUCUUCUAAUUAUUCCGGAGUUAUUCUCAAGUUCUUUUGAAGUUUGACGUAAUUAUAAAUUUCAUCAGUCAGAUGUUUUUCCAAGAUCAAUUUCAAAUCAUUUUCGUUGUUGGCUCAACCUCUUCGCUUUUCAUUCUCCCGGAGUAUCUCAAAAAUUUUUGGUGGUGUUUCUCGUCGUCAUUCUCAACAUUUGAAGACGGAAGAAGAAUUUCUCUUAUAUCUUGUCCGUUCUCCCGGAGAUUUGCGGUGCUAGCUCGAUGUUAUCCUAUCAAAUUGUUUCCAGUCAUGAAAUUCUUUUCUUACCCAUCCGGAGCAUUUCAGGAGUUGUUUUUCCCUUUCAAUUGUCCGGAGGCCUCCAUUUCAGAAGAUUUCCUCGUUCCAAUUUUUCAGCUUCAUUCGUUCCCAUAUUUGUGUCGUUGCUGCGCUCAAGCAUUCUUUAUCUAUUCGCGAUCUCUCCGUUUUCUUGCAUCUUGAUCCCCUAAAGUAUAUUUGUUCUUUCAAUCCUCACGGUGAUUCGUUCUCUUUCUUAUUCAUUUUCAAAUUCUUAUGGUGGUUCGUUCAAGAUUCCUUUUCGUUCUUAUCACAUAUAUUCAUUCGUUCUUCCCAAUCCUACCGGUGGUUCAUGAAGAUUUUUUCAAGUUUUGCGCUAUAUCUCCCCUUAAUCUUUUUCAUCGUGAAUAAGUUGUAUGCAAUCCAUUGCUUCUCAUCAAUGCAAGUGAUGAAGGAUAAGCAUAACAUAAUUCUCAUUCUUCUUUCAUCAAGUGGGUCAAUUCCUUCGGAGAUUUUUCAUGAUGAAUAAUCUCUUGGUUCUAAGUUGUUCAUCUUUUCUUUUCUGGAGUUCCAAGCUUUUUCUAGCUUGUCUCGUUGCGAAGCUCCAUCUAAAUCAUCGCAAGGCGUCAUCUUAUUCCUUUCAUCCUUCAAUUCUAUCUCAUCAUCCUUUUGUUACCGGAGUUCUUCACGGUGGUUCGCAAGGAUUUAAUUCAUUGCUCAAGUGUUCAACAAGAUUCUUGUUGGAGGAGCUCAAGUAUCUUUCCUUCUUGCUUCUCGAGGUGCAAAUAAUUCUCCAUGUUCUUUUGAAGUGGACUUUUGCAUUUCUUCAUUCUUCUCAGCUAUUCAAGCAUUUGGUUGUGGCAUAAUUCCACCUCAAGUUUUGGAGAUGUUUUCAAUAAGUCCACAACAAGCUUAUUCUUUUGUUGUUGAAUUUUCAACAACUCUGUUCAAUCCUUCUGUGCAAGGAUGCUUUUCAAACUCAAUUGUGGUAGAAGUUGUCAUCUUCUUCUCCGUUCUUUUAAUUCCACUCUUUCAAUUCUUCCGAAGGCGUUGUGUUGUCCCUCUCGUCAAGUAUCGUUCCAUCUUGUCAAGCUCAUGCCUUAUUCCAUUCCAUGUUCAACCGGGAUGCUAUCACAAUUCUGUAGUUCUUAUUCCUUUUCUAUCUUCUUCCAACCGCAGUGGUUUCAGAGUCUAUCUUGUCCUUGAGCUUGUGAUUCUCGUCAUGUUCGUUGUUCCUCUUUAUCUACUCGAGUGUUCUCGACUUUCUUAAUCUUCUUUCUUGCACUCUUGGUUACUUCAUCCUCUUUUCUUCCGUCUCGUUCCUAAGAUCUCGGGACGAGAUCUCUUGUUAGUGGAGGAGAGUUGUAACGCCCAGAGACCGACGCUUCAGUUGCCCUUCCAUUUAUUUUAGUUGUUGAUGUGUGUUUAUUAUGUUUGUUGCAUUAUCAUAAUUGUUUUGCAUAUUUCAUUCAUAUAUGUUUAUGCCAUGAUCAUGAUGAUGUCUUUGUCAUAUCUUUGCUUCUUGCACCAUGCUCAUCUCACUUGUUAUGUUGCAUUGUGCCCUUGUCAUUUGGCAUUUCAUCAUGCUCAUCAUGUGCAUUGUGAGAUCCAUCUUAUCAUUUUACUUGCUCUAUGUGUGUGUUGAUAUUCCACAACUUGUUUCCUCUCUCAACCUAUCAAUGCACCAUCAUCUCCUCCUUCCUUCUUCUUUCUUCCAUUUUUGCAAGUGACAGUAUCCCCUCAUUCAUUAAUGUUGAUUUAUUUCCUGAUGAUCAUACUCCUUGCCUUAUGCCUCUCUGUCAAAUUUCAUCUCUAUUAAAGUUGUUUUGGUUCGGCUAAUAAUUUACUCAAGUUUGAAUCAAAUUCAAACUUGUUUAAAUUUUCUGUCUCUAAAAUUUCCCAAAGCAAUUUUAUCAAAUAGUGCAUAAUCCCGGGACUCCAGGGAUAUAUUUUUAUCUCCGGGAUUCCUUCCCUAAGCCCGUGUUGUUUUUGUCCAAAUCAUGUUUAUUUUGUAAAUAGGAGAAUAAAGCAACGCAGGGAAGAAAAACCUUACCUGAAGCCCAGCUGACCCGGAGCCCAGCCCACCGGGACCUCUCGCUCUCUCUCCCCUGGUAAAUCCCACACAUGCACCGGGCCGGCCCCGCAUGUCAUCCUCUCCCUCCUCUCCUUUUUCUUCCACCUUGGUAGCACCCCCUCUCACAGUAACUCGCACAGCCGAGCGAGGCACAUGGCCAACGCGGCCGAGCUCACGUCGUGCCCCUCCUAUAAAGCCGCAGCCCCGCGCCCUAGGGUUUCCUCUCCCCCUCUCGCCGCCGCCACCCCUUUCCUUCCCUCAGUUUCUCCUUCUUCCUCAACAAACAGAGGAGCAGAGAACCACCGAGCGCGCUCCACCGUCGUUUGUGAGGCCCCCUCGUCGUCUUCUUCGACUUCAAGCAAGGCCAAGAUACAGAAGGGCCCAAGGGCGCCGCAAUCUUCUUCCACGACGUCAUCUUCUUCCUCUUCAUCGCCGCGGAACGCCAAGUUCCUCGACGCCAUCUUCGUCAUCUUCCUCUGCUUCACGGACCCGAGCGCCUCCGUCGAUCAUCGCGUCCUGCCGCCGUCUCCGGUCACCCGCGGCCGUGUUUGACUCCAGCAGCACCCCCACGGUGAAGCCCCGCUCCUCCCCAACUCUCUCUCCAGUUCAAUUCUGUCGCCGUAGUCAGCUUCCCGAGCCCGCCUAUUCCAUAUCCGCCAUGGACGGCCUCGAGUUCGUUCUUGUGUUCAUGCCGUUGCUCUGCUCGUUGAUUCACACACGCCACCCGCCGCGCCACAGCACUGCAGCCUCGCCAUACCCACCUAGCGCCUGCCGCCGUCUCUCGCCAUGGCCGCGCCCGAGUCGAGCGCGAGCUCGUGCUCGAGUCUUUGCAUGCACACGGCCGCCCCUUGCUGCACCCACACAUGCGCACAUCCCACCACGGCCACCGCAAGCCUUUUUCGCACCCCUGCCGGCGCUUGGUAGCCGCAGUAGUCGCCGCUGCUUGUUCCUGUCGCCGACGAGAAGCAGUCGUCCGCCAUGUAGAAGAAAGCCCCGUCCUUAUGCAGUUCAUCUAAGUCUGAAUCCCUCUUCGAACACCAGAAUUGCAGCAGCGUAGUGGUUAGCGCACCUCGGACAUAAACAGGGAAUCUGGGGUUUUCAAAUCCCAGGUGGUACCCUUUUUCUUUGUUUUGUUUUUGAACUGCUGUUCUUUCCCCGGCCACACGAGAGCUGCCGAUCCCCUAUGUAACACAAACACAAUGCUAGGGCAGUGGCUAGCUGUCUCGGUUUUCAACGGAGAGGUUGUGGCUUCGAGUCCCAGGCCCCCCUUUUUUUUCGUUUUCUUUUGCACACUCGCACACUUGCGCCCGAUUCCACUUCUGGCCGCUGCACUCUAAUACUUUUGGCCCAUGCUUUUUUUCCCUAUGCCUGUGGAUUUUCGUUAUUUUCAAGUGCAUUGCAUAAUUACAGUUUUGCCACUGUUUUGUAAUGGUCAUAUCUAAAUACCCAUGCAUCCAAAGGAAACAUGUCAUAUAUGUAAAAUGCUUAGAAUUUUGUCUAGUUUCAUAAUAUGCAACUUUCAUCCAUGCUUAAAAUGUUUAAACUGCUAUUUGCUCUUAAUUUGCUAAAUGACAUGCUAAAAUGGUUUAAUUCAUAUCUAGAUAACCGUAGCUCCGUUUUAAAUAAACUUUAUAUGUAAAUGGGGUAGAAAAAUGCAUAGAUUGACAUGGUGCACUUUAUUUUGCUGUUUAACAACUUUUAAAUUGUGUAUAGGGCAGGACAGUACCAAAUUCGAAAUAUGCAUAUGAGGAUUUUUCGGAAUUGUUGUUUGUUGUUCCGGCCUCAUUUAAACUUGCUUCACCUCUUGCCAUGUUAACCAACAUUUAAUCUUGACAUGCAUCAUACUUGGUUGUGCAUCAUUCCAUGUUUAUGUGAAGGUUGUUUACCAUGUUGUUUGCUUGUUUUCGGUGCUUCUUCUUCUUUAUAGUUCCGUUAACGUUACGAUUGAGGGGAUUCGUUCGGCUACGUUGCUUCAUCUACUUCAUGGACUCGUUCUUCUUCCUAGCGGGAUUUCAGGCAAGCUGACCGUCACCUUGGAUCUCAUUACUAUCAUUGCUAUGCUAGUUGACCCGAUUCUAUCGCUAUGCCGCGUUACCUGCCACUUGCUUAUCGAGCCUCCCAAAUUAACAUGAACCUCUAACCUUUGUCACCCUUCCUAGCAAACUGUUGUUUGGCUAUGUUACCGCAUUUGCUCAGCCCCUCUUAUAGCGUUGCUAGUUGCAGGUGAAGAUGAAGAUUUCUCCAUGUUGGAUUAUGUUUAUGUUGGGAUAUCACAAUAUCUCUUAUAUUAUUAAUGCAUCUAUAUACUUGGUAAAGGGUGGAAGGCUCGGCCUUAUGCCUGGUGUUUUGUUCCACUCUUGCCAUCCUAGUUUCCGUCAUAUCGGUAUUAUGUUCCCGGAUUUUGCGUCCCUAACGCGGUUGGGUGUUAUGGGAACCACUUGACAGUUCGCCUUGAAUAAAACUCCUCCAGCAAGGCCCAACAUUGGUUUUACCAUUUGCCUACCUACCACCUAUACCUUUCCCUUGGGAGUAAUUAACCCGAGGGUCAUCUUUAUUUUAGCCCCCCGGGCCAAUGCUUCUCUAAGUGUUCGUCUAAACUAGAGCCCCUUGCAGCGCCACCUCGGGGAAACUCGAGGCCUGGUUUUAGUUGUACGGACUGCUCAUCUGGUCGUGGCCUGAGACGAGAUACGCGCGGCUACUAUCAGGGUGUCGGCACGCCGGGAGGUCUUGCUGGACUUGUUUUACCAUUGUCGAAAUGUCUUGUAACCGGGAUUCCGAGACUGAUCGGGUCUUCCCGGGAGAAGGAAUAUCCUUCGUUGAUCUUGAGAGCUUAUCAUGGGCUAAGUUGGGACACCCCUGCAGGGUUUGAACUUUCGAAAGCCGUCCCCGUGGUUAUGUGGCAGAUUGGAAUUUGUUAAUAUCCGGUUGUAGUAAACUUGAAGUAAACUCUUCUAAAAUACACCAACCGCGUGCGUAACCGUGAUUGUCUCUUUUCGGGGUUGUUCGAGAGGAGAACACGGUUUUUGGGCUAUGUUUGGCAUAAGUAGGAGUUCAGGAUCACUUCUUGAUCAUUACUAGUUGUCGUCUGCUUGUUCAGCUCCUCUUCUCGCUCUUGUAUUCGUAAGUUAGCCACCAUACAUGCUUAGUCGCUGCUGCAACCUCACCACUUUACCCUUUCCUUACCCAUUAAGCUUUGCUAGUCUUGAUACCCAUGGUAAUGGGAUUGCUGAGUCCUCGUGGCUCAUAGUUUACUACAACAACAGUUGCAGGUACAGGUUAUGCGAUGAUCAUGACAUGAGAGCGAUUUUUAUUUGUGUUGGAGUUAUUCUUCUUCUUCGUCGAUCUUGGGUUUGGUUCCUGGUCGGUAGCCUAGGCUAGCAGGGUGGAUAUUGUUUGAGUUUCUGUUUGUGUUUCAUCCGUAGUCGGAUGUUGAUCUCUUGUAUGAUGUUGAUGUAUUCUUGGGGCAUUUAUGCCUUUUGUAUGUAUCCCCAACUAUUAUGUAACGGUACGAUGUAAUGAUAUCCACCUUGCAAAAGCGUCUUCAAGAUGUGCUUCUAUCCUUGGUGGGACCUUCGAGUUCCUUUAGGAUAGGGUCGCAUCUUGGGCGUGACAAUCAACCAUCCUCCAUGCGUGAGUAAUUCCAUCAUAGGCUUGCUGGAUGAUGAUGGGUUGGAUGAGAUUUAUCAUGUAAUCGAGUUAGUUUUGUUAGGGUUUGAUCCCUAGUAUCGACUAUGUUCUGAGAUUGAUGUUGCUAUGACUUUGCUAUGCUUAAUGCUUGUCACUAGGGCCCGAGUGCCAUGAUUUCAGAUCUGAACCUAUUAUGUUUUCAUGAAUAUAUGUGAGUUCUUGAUCCUAUCUUGCAAGUCUAUAGUCACCUACUAUGUGUUAUGAUCCGGCAACCCCGAAGUGACAAUAACCGGGACCACUCCCGGUGAUGACCAUAGUUUGAGGAGUUCAUGUAUUCACUAUGUGUUAAUGCUUUGGUCCGGUACUCUAUUAAAAGGAGGCCUUAAUAUCCCUUAGUUUCCAUUAGGACCCCGCUGCCGCGGGAGGGUAGGACAAAAGAUGUCAUGCAAGUUCUUUUCCAUAAGCACAUAUGACUAUAUUCGGAAUACAUGCCUACAUUACAUUGAUGAAUUGGGGCUAGUUCUGUGUCACCCUAUGUUAUGACUGUUACAUGAUGAACCGCAUCCGGCAUAAUUCUCCAUCACCGAUCCAAUGCCUACGAGAUUUUCACAUAUUGUUCUUUGCUUAUUUACUUUUCCGUUGCUACUGUUACAAUCACUACAAAACCCAAAAAUAUUACUUUUGCUAUCGUUACUGUUACUUCCAUAUUACUUUGCUACUAAAUACUUUGUUGCAGAUACUAAGUUAUCCAGGUGUGGUUGAAUUGACAACUCAACUGCUAAUACUUGAGAAUAUUCUUUGGCUCCCCUUGUGUUGAAUCAAUAAAUUUGGGUUGAAUACUCUACCCUCGAAAACUGUUGCGACCCCCUAUACGUGUGGGUUAUCAAGACUAUUUUCUGGCGCUGUUGCCGGGGAGCAUAGCUCUAUUCUUUGAGUCAAUUGGGAUUUAUAUCUGCUGGUCCCUAUGAAGAACUUGAAAGACGCAAAAACAGCAAUUUAUCCCUCAACUACGAGGGGAGGUAUGGAACUGCCAUCUAGCUCUGCACUUGAUUCACCUUCUGUUUUGAGUAAGCUUGCGACACCUAAACCUUCUUCUGCUAUUCAUUCUGAUAUGUCGCAUGUUAUUGAUGACGCCACUUCUGCUAUGCAUGAUACUUAUGACGAAACUACUUCUAUGCUUGAUACUACUGUGCCACUUGGUGAAUUUCUUGAUGAACAACUUGCCAGGGCUAGAGAGAAUGAAAUUAUUGAAACUGAUAAUAUUGAAGAUAGUGAUGAUGAAGACUCUCCCCCUAAUAACUAUGAAUUGCAUGUUGUUCCUGAGGGUUAUGUUCUGGAAGAAGGAGCUGCUAGAGCUAUUUUAGCUUGCAAUGAUAGAUAUGAUCUAAAGAGGUUAUUAGCUAAAUGGAAGCAUCGACCUCUUAAUGCUAGAAUGAAACCUGACCCUGCUUUUGCUACUUCACCUAUGUGUGUUACUCAUAAGGAUUAUGAAUUCUCUGUUGAUCCUGAUAUAAUUACUUUGGUUGAAUCUGAUCCUUUUCAUGGCUAUGAAUCUGAAACUGUUGUGGCACAUAUUACUAAAUUAAAUGAUAUAGCCACCCUGUUCACUAACGAUGAGAGAACCCGCUACUUUUGUAUCCUCAAAAUAUUUCCGUUCUCAUUAAAGGGUGAUGCUAAGAUAUGGUUUAAUUCUCUUGAUCCUGGUUGUGUGCGUAGUCCCCAGGAUAUGAUUUAUUACUUCUAUGCAAAAUAUUUUCCUGCUCAUAAGAAACAAGCUGCUUUAAGGGAUAUAUAUAAUUUUGUGCAAAUUGAAGAACAGAGUCUCCCACAAGCUUGGGGGAGGCUUCUCCAAUUACUUAAUGCUUUGCCUGAUCAUCCUCUCAAGAAAAAUGAAAUACUUGAUAUCUUUUAUAAUGGACUAACCGAUGCUUCCAGAGAUUACCUGGAUAGUUGUGCUGGUUCUGUUUUCAGGGAAAGAACACCGGAUGAAGCUGAAAUUCUAUUGAAUAAUAUGUUGACAAAUGAAAAUAAUUAGACACUUCCUGAGCCAGCUCCUGAGCCUAUUCCUAAACCAACUCCGAAGAAGAGGGGUGUUCUAUUUCUCAGUCCCGAAGAUAUGCAAGAGGCAAAGAAAUCUAUGAAAGAAAAAGGUAUUAAAGCUGAAGAUAUUAAGAAUUUACCUCCUAUUGAAGAAAUACAUGGUCUUGAUUUACCGCCUGUUGAAGAAACAUAUGAUCCUAAUCCUUCACCUAUUAAAGAAACACGUGGUCUUGAUAACCCGACACGGGUAGUAAAGGUAAAUUCUCUAUAUAGAUUUGACGAAGGUGAUAUUCCUCACUAUAAGACUGCUAGACAAUGAUUAGAAGAGUUUGAUAAUUUUAUUGUCAAACAAGAAAACUACAAUCCUUAUUUUGGUAGACAAUUGAAAUACAAUUCCGACAUGCUUGAACACUUGGGUGAUUAUAUGUCUAAUGUUAAAGGUGAACUUAAACUCAUUACUAAACAUGCUUCUAUGGUUACCACUCAAGUAGAACAAGUACUUAAAGCUCAAAAUGAUUUGCUCAAUGAAUUGAAUAGUAAGAAAAAUGAUUAUGAUGUUAGAGUGGCUACUAGAACUGGUAAAAUGACUCAGGAACCUUUGUAUCCUGAAGGCCACCCUAAGAGAAUUGACAAGAUUCUCAGAGAAAUAAUAUUGAGGCACCUAGUCCUUCUAAAAGGAAGAAAAAGAAAAAUGAUAGGACUUUGCAUGCUUCUAGUGAACCUAUUGCUGAACCACCUGAGAAUCCAAAUGAUAUCUCUAUUUCUGAUGCUAAAACACAAUCUGGUAAUGAACAUGAACCUAGUGAUAAUGUUAAUGAUGAUGUUCAUGUUGAUGCUCAACCUAGUAAUGAUAACAAUGUGGAAAUUGAACCUGCUGUUGAUCUUGAUAACCCACAAUCAAAGAAUCAACGUUAUGAUAAGAGAGAUUUUGCUGCUAGGAAACACGGUAAAGAAAGAGAACCAUGGGUUCAGAAACCCAUGCCUUUUCCUCCCAAACCAUCCAAGAAAAAUGAUGAUGAGGAUUUUGAGCGGUUUGCUGAAAUGAUUAGACCUAUCUUUUUGCGUAUGCGAUUAACUGAUAUGCUCAAAAUGAAUCCUUAUGCUAAGUACAUGAAAGAUAUGGUUACUAAUAAAAGAAAGAUACUGGAACUGAAAUUUCCACCAUGCUUGCUAACUACACUUUCAUGGGUGGAAUACCCAAGAAACUAGGAGAUCCAGGAGUACCAACUAUACCAUGCUCCAUUAAAAGAAACUAUGUUAGAACUGCUUUAUGUGAUCUUGGAGCUGGUGUUAGUGUUAUGUCUCUCUCUUUAUAUCGUAGACUUGAUUUGAAUAAGUUAACACCUACUAAAAUAUCUUUGCAAAUGACUGAUAAAUCAAUUGCUAUACCUGUCGGUAUUUGUGAGGAUGUGCCUGCUGUGGUUGCAAACGUUACUAUUUUAACGGACUUUGUUAUUCUUGAUAUUCCCGAGGACGAUAGUAUGUCUAUUAUUAUUGGAAGACCCUUUUUGAAUACUAUAGGGGAUGUUAUUGAUUGCAACAAAGGCAAUGUCACUUUUCAUGUUAAUGGUAAUGAGAAUACGAUACACUUUCCGAGGAAACAACCUCAAGUUCAUAGUAUCAACUCUAUUGGAAAAAUUCCAUCGAUUAUUUUUGGAGGUUUUGAAUUUCCUCUUCCUACUUUCAAGAAGAAAUACGAUAUUAUUAUUAUUGGGGAUGUGCAUAUCCCCGUUGAGGUAACAUAGUGUUAUUCGAAAUUUCUCCGGUUCCAUGUUAUUCAGAAAGAGUUUGUUAACAAGACUUGAUCAACCUUGUUAGUGGAUUCCUUUUGAUGAGCAUGAGAUGGAUGAAACUAGAAAGCACAACCUUCUGUACCCUCUCUCUACUUUCUGUUAUUUAGUUGAAAUAAAAUAAAAAUAGUAUUUUUCUGUCAGUUUUCUGAUUUAUCCGUGCAAUAUAAAAAUACCCCGAAAAUAAAAGUUCGCCAAAUGCCCUGAAAAUGGAAUAUGAUUUUUUCUGGAAUAUUUGAGAAUAUCUGGCACUGAGAACACAGCAGGGGGAGCAAGCACCUGGCCACGAGGGUCUUGGGCGCGCCCACCCCUAUAGGGCGCGCCCCCUGCCUCGUGGGCCCACGGUGGCUCCCCUCCACUUAUGCCAGCCACCACACACUUCUUCUUCCUCCCAAAAAAAUCACCAUCCAGCUCAAGCACGAGUUCUAGCUCAUUUUGCUGCGAUUUUCGAUCUCCUUGCUCAAAGCACCUCUCACAAAACUGCUUGGGAGGAUUGUUCCUUGGUAUGUGACUCCUCCAUUGGUCCAAUUAGUUUUUGUUCUAGUGCUCUAUUCAUUGCAAAUUUGUGCUGCCUAGGUGACCAUGUUCUUGAGCUUGCAUGUCAAAUUUAUAUGGUUCCAAGUAGUUGUAAUGCAUGAUAUAGUCUCUAGUCACUUGUAGGAGUAGUUGCUAUCAAUUUUGUUGAGUUUGGUUCACUUUUGCUUGAAGUUACUAAAAAUUUCAGAAUUUUUCAGAAAAUAAUGAAGAGAUUUUUGAGGGGCUCGUCGAGCCGAAGCUCGAAGCAAAAGCAAAGUGAAGAAGCACAGAGGCCCAAAUAUAAUUUGCCUCGCACCGCGGAGGUUCGGCCAUGUGAAUGGCCUUCCGAUGAUUUAUUGAGAGAAGCCGGGAUUUAUGAUGAUUUUUAUGAAUUGGCUGAGAAUGCUGGCCUCACCGACUUCCUCCGCGACCAACGCGAACAUUAUCUCUUACUCACCAAUACUUUUGUGCAAAACUUCUACUAUUAUCCUAAGGAAACACCUCCUUCAGUAGAGUUUCAUUUAUAUGAUGUGGCUAAGAAGAUGCCACUAGAUGAAUUUUGCAAGAUUUGCAAAAUACCUUUCGAGGGUAGCUUAGAGGAACCACAUCGUAUAGAUGUGGACGGGUUCAUUGAUACUAUCACUGUAGGGGAAACUAGGAACGUUUCCGAUGCAAGAAUCACUAGCAUACAUUUUCCUGUUUUACGCUACUUUGCCAUAUUUGCUAGUCAUUGCUUAAUUGGUCGCGGAAACUGUGGAAACCUUAGUGUUCCUGAUAUUAUCAUUUUGUUCCAUGGUUUAUUCUGCGAUAACACUAUUAGUAUGGGCGGUAUUAUUGCUAAACGGUUAAGUUUGAACCGUACAAAGGGCCCCAUCUUUGGAGGUAUUUACGCUUCAUGCCUUGCUGCACAUUAUAACAUACCUAUUAGGCACUAUGAAAAAGAAGAAAAUUUGCUGCCCAAUGCUUAUUUAGAUUAUAAGAGUAUGGUAGCGCAUGACUUUAUUGUUAAGGACAGGGAAGGGGCGCUUAAAUACAAAUUGUUCUUUGAUAAACAUCACCCUGAGACUAUUACCUUGCCUGCUCCUUCCUUGUUUGAUUUAUCUGCAGGCCAGUAUCUCGUUCCGCUGGCGGCCAUUCACGCCAACGGGAACCCUACACCAGCCACGGAGCCGGAACCACAAUUUGAACCUCCACGACAGUCUAAUUACCAGUGGGAUCUGGAGAUGAUUUCCAACCAGUGGCAGUCAGAGUCUUGUUCAUCUCAGUACGACCCCGGCUACAAUUAUGGAUAUCCGCCAGGCCAUCCGUGGCAAUAAACCAACUUAGGCCAAAAGCCUAAGCUUGGGGGAGUACGUAUUUCCCACCGACAUUACAUUUAUGUUUACACACUCAUUGCUAGAUGUCCGUGCUCAUACUUUUUCACUAUAAUAACCAUGCUAGUUUAUUUUCCUUUUUAUGCUUUCUUCUUGUGUGUCUGAUAAACCUUAAGAAAAACCAAAAAAAAUUAGUAAUAGCUUUAGCUAGUUUACCUUUCUUGCUGUAGUAAAUUAAAUAGUUUUAUCGUUCUUCUUUUGCUUGUUGGGAGCUUUCCCGUGUAAAUAGUUUUAUUUCUUUUCUUUUCUUUGGGGGUCGAUAGGAGAAGACCAUAAUUAAAUUGUUGAAGUGGCUCUUAUAUGCAUUAUUGUUGAUUUAACCAAGAGCCCAUAUUGCCUUGUCUUCUCCUGUUUAUUGAAUGCUCGCAGAUUCCAGCUUAGUCCAAUGCACGUGCACUCUUAUUAUUAUUCACAUCGUUCGGUCGUGCACGUGAAAGGCAAUUAUGACGAUAUAUGAUGAACCGACUGAGAUGAGAGAAGCUGGUAUGAACUCGACCUCUCUUGUUUUUGUAAAUAUGAUUAGUUCAUCGUUCCUGAUUCAGCCUAUUAUGAAUAAACAUGUUCGCAAUGACAAUUAGAGAUUAUAGUUGCUUGUGCCAUGCUUGAUUAGCUAUGAGUUAUAAUGGUUUACCUGGCAUGCCAACAUGCGAUUAAAAUGGUUGUGAUGUGGUAUAGUAGGGUGGUAUCCUCCUUUGAAUGAUUUAAGUGACUCGACUUGGCACAUGUUCACACAUGUAGUUGAAACAAAUCAACAUAGCCUUCACGAUAUUUAUGUUCAUGGUGGAUUAUAUCCUACUCAUGCUUGUACUCAAUGUUUAUUAAUUUUAAUGCAUGUUCAUGACUGUUGUCGCUCUCUAGUUGGUCACUUCCCAAUCUUUUUCUAGCCUUCACUUGUACUAAGCGGGUAUACUGCUUGUGCAUCCAGUCCCUUAAACCUCAAAGUUAUUCCAUAUAAGUCCACUAUACCUUCCUAUUGCGGUAUCUACCUGUUGUUCCAAGUAAAUUUGUAUGUGCCAAACUCUAAACCUUCAAAUGAAAUUCUGUUUUGUAUGCUCGAUAGCUCAUGUAUCAACUAGGGCUGUCCGUAUCUUCUAUGCUAGGCGGGUUAUUCUCAAGAGGAGUGGACUCCGCUCCUCACUCACGAGAAAAUGGCUGGUCACCGGGAUGCCCAGUCCCAUGCUUUAUGCAAACUAAGUCAAAAUAAUUGCAAACAAAACUCACCCUGGGGCUCUUGCUAGUUGGAGGCACUCGUUGUUUCGAGCAAGCCAUGGAUUGAUGCUUGUUGGUGGAGGGGGAGUAUAAACUUUACCAUUCUAUUUGGGAACCGCCUAUAAUAUGUGUAGCAUGGAAGAUAUCGCCAUCUCUUGGUUGUUAUGUUGACAAUGAAAGUAUGCCGCUCAAAAUAUUAUUUAUCUCUAUUUCAAAACCGAGCUCUGGCACCUCUACAAAUCCAUGCUUCCCUCUGCGAAGGGCCUAUCUAUUUACCUUUAUGUUGAGUCAUCACCCUCUUAUUAAAAAGCACUAGCUGGAGAGCACUGCUGUCAUUUGCAUCCAUUACUAUUAAUUUAUAUUGGGUAUGACUAUGACUAGAUCUCUUUUACCAUGAAUUACAAUGUCUAGUCAGUCCUUGAUCCUUACAGGUGCUCUGCAUUUAUGUUUUGCAGUCUCAGAAAGGGCUAGCGAGAUACCAUCUUGUUAUAUCAUAUUAUGAUUGUUUUGAGAAAGUGUUGUCAUCCGAGAUUUAUUAUUAUGGCUCGCUAGUUGAUUAUGCCAUUGAUAUGAGUAAACAUGAGACCUAAGAGUUAUUGUGAAUGUGGUUAGUCAUAAUCUUUGCUGAAAACUUGAAUGCUGGCUUUACAUAUUUACAACAACAAGAGCAACAAGAGCUUGUAAAAGUUUUUCUUUUUCACUUUCAGUUUAUCAAUUGAAUUGCUUGAGGACAAGCAAAGGUUUAAGCUUGGGGGAGUUGAUACGUCUCCAUCGUAUCUACUUUUCCAAACACUUUUGCCCUUGUUUUGGACUCUAACUUGCAUGAUUUGAAUGGAACUAACCCAGACUGACGCUGUUUUCAGCAGACUUUCCAUGGUGUUAUUUAUGUGCAGAAACAAAAGUUCUCGGAAUGACCUGAAACUCCACGGAACAUAUUUUUGGAAAAUAUUAAAAAUACUGGAAGAAGAAUCCACGUCAGGGAGCCCACACCCUGUCCACGAGGGUGGGGGGCGCGCCCCCUGCCUCGUGGGCCCCCUAACGCUCCACCGACCUCAACUCCAACUCCAUAUAUUCACUUUUGGGGAGAGAAAAAAUCAGAGAGAAGGAUCCAUCGUGUUUUAUGAUACGGAGCCGCCGCCAAGCCCUAAAACUCUCAGGAGGGCUGAUCUGGAGUCCGUUCGGGGCUCCGGAGAGGGGGAUUCGUCGCCAUCGUCAUCAUCAACCAUCCUCCAUCACCAAUUUCAUGAUGCUCACCGCCGUGCGUGAGUAAUUCCAUCGUAGGCAUGCUGGACGGUGAUGGGUUGGAUGAGAUUUGUCAUGUAAUCGAGUUAGUUUUGUUAGGGUUUGAUCCCUAGUAUGCACUAUGUUCUGAGAUUGAUGUUGCUAUGACUUUGCUAUGCUUAAUGCUUGUCACUAGGGCCCGAGUGCCAUGAUUUCAGAUCUGAACCUAUUAUGUUUUCAUGAAUAUAUGUGAGUUCUUGAUCCUAUCUUGCAAGUCUAUAGUCACCUACUAUGUGUUAUGAUCCGGCAACCCCGAAGUGACAAUAAUCGGGACCACUCCCGGUGAUGACCAUAGUUUGAGGAGUUCAUCUAUUCACUAUGUGUUAAUGCUUUGGUCCGGUACUCUAUUAAAAGGAGGCCUUAAUAUCCCUUAGUUUCCAUUAGGACCCCGCUGCCAGGGGAGGGUAGGACAAAAGAUGUCAUGCAAGUUCUUUCCCAUAAGCACGUAUGGCUAUAUCCGGAAUACAUGCCUACAUUACAUUGAUGAAUUGGAGCUAGUUCUGUGUCACCCUAUGUUAUGACUGUUACAUGAUGAACCGCAUCCGGCAUAAUUCUCCAUCACCGAUCCAAUGCCUACGAGAUUUUCACAUAUUGUUCUUCGCUUAUUUACUUUUCCGUUGCUACUAUAACAAUCACUACAAAACCCAAAAAUAUUACUUUUGCUAUCGUUACUGUUACUUCCAUAUUACUUUGCUACUAAAUACUUUGCUGCAGAUACUAAGUUAUCUAGGUGUGGUUGAAUUGACAACUCAACUGCUAAUACUUGAGAAUAUUCUUUGGCUCCCCUUGUGUCGAAUCAAUCAAUUUGGGUUGAAUACUCUACCCUCGAAAACUGUUGCGACCCCCUAUACUUGUGGGUUAUCAACGCCCUCCCAUAUCCCGCGCGUCCGCCACCUACCCCGCGCCAUGCAUGCGGCGUACGUGGCGAAAAAGGCGGCCGUAGUGGGAAGCGUGGAACAACGAUUAUCGUCCUGUGAAUAAAGGCUGUUCACGGGACACUGCAAGCACAGACGACUAGAAGAUUACAGCAAUUAUUCCCUUCCAUGCAUGCCCGCGCACUGUUUGGGCCUGGCCCAACGACGCCUCGCACUCGUGUGUGGCCCAGGCCCGGGGGCUCCUGUCGGUGUACUAAAGUUUGGGCCUUUUGCACCCCAGACUUGUGCACAGGCAGUCAUAACCCCACGCAUGGCAAAGCGCGAAGAGGGCGAUAUGGGACAGAUACAAGACAAAGAAAAACAGCUAAGUCAGAGAACAGAGGACGAGUUCGAUCCCCGGCAAGGGCCUUGCUGGGGCAGCCUGCGAGACCCUAGCAAGUUCCUUGCCGGGACGACUUACAGAGCACCACCCUUGUGGUUGAGAGCUCUGACACCAUCGAAAACCUUAAGGCCAGAAUCCAAGGGCACGCACGUAGUGGCGUGCAGAUCUUUGUGAAGGCUAGAAGAUGAGACGCCAGCAAGAUCCCUGCCGAGGACGCCCACGAGGCCCCGGCAAGAUCCUUGUCAAGGACGCCCAUGAGGCCCCGGCAAGAUCCUUGCCGGGGACAUAGGCAAGACCAUGGCCAGACUCGGCUUCCCAGUCAACACUCCAGUGCGGGGGCUGACCUACCAGCCUGGCAGGCGCCCGUGUGGUGGCAUGCGGAUCUUCGUGAAGACCCUGCCACCUCUCCAACGGAGCAGCUGGCCAGCCAACUUGGCACUACAUGCCCCAUCGGCAUGGACGCGUGUCGAGACUGGGCGGGGAGGCAACGGACGGGAAGGGCUCUCUCCCCGUCCCCGAUAAAGCUAGAGGGCAUGUAAGCGGCACAUUUAAUGCGUUUGUCCUUAGAUGACAAAGAUAAGCAUGUACACUGUAGUUACUUUACACCUCCUGCAUGCCACUGUGGCAGCCCCUUUGGUCAUAUAAAAGGAGGCCCUCAGCAUACUGGAGGAGGAUUCGGAUUUUUGGACCUCUCGGCCCAGCUUGCAUGCGCAGCAAUGAGCCGAAGCUCAAGAACACUCAAUACACAAUCAAGCAGGACUAGGGUUUUAUGCAUCUCUACGGCCCGAACCUGGGUAAAGACCCGUGGUGUUGAUCACUAGAUCUGCUCUUUGCUUAGCCCCUGUUCCCUGCCAAACCAUAGAAGGGAUCCCCGUGGUCCCAUAGGUGUCGUUUCCCCAACAUUUUCUAAAAUUUCUAAGGCUCUUACAAAUCUUUUGCAAAAGGAUAUUCCUUUUGUUUUUUAUGAUGAUUGUUUAGAAGCCUUCGAAACACUCAAGAAAGCCUUAAUUUAUGCACCUAUUAUUCAACCACCUGAUUGGAACUUGCCUUUUGAAAUUAUGUGUGAUGCUAGUGAUUAUGUUGUUGGUGCUCUUCUAGGACAAAGAGUUGAUAAGAAACUAAAUGUUAUUCAUUAUGCUAGUAAAACUCUAGACAGUGCACAACAAAAUUAUGCUACUACUGAAAAGAAUUUCUAGCAGUGGUGUUUGCUUGUGAUAAAUUUAGAUCUUACAUUGUUGACUCUAAAGUUAUUGUUCACGCUGAUCAUGCUGCUAUAAAAUAUCUUAUGGAAAAGAAAGAUGCCAAACCUAGGCUUAUUGGAUGGGUUCUCUUGCUACAAGAAUUUGAUUUGCAUAUCACUGAUAGAAAAGGAGCAGUGUAACUUGUUUAGGUUGGAGAAUGUCCUUGAUGACCCACUACCUAUUGAUGAUAGUUUUCCCGAUGAGCAGUUAGCUGCUGUUUCUCAUCACACUCGUUGGUAUGCUGAUUAUGUUAAUUAUAUUGUUGCUAAAUAUUUACCACCAAGUUUUACAUACCAACAAAAGAAAACAUUCUUCUAUGAUUUAAGACAUUACUUUUGGGAUGACCCACAUCUUUAUAAAUGAGUAGAUGGUAUUAUUAGGCGUUGUGUACCUGAGCAUGAACAGGGACAAAUCCUAUGGAAAUGUCACUCCAAAGCUUAUGGAGGACAUCAUGCGGGAGACAGAACUACUCACAAGGUAUUGCAACCUGGGUUUUAUUGGCCUACUCUCUUCAAGGAUGCUCGUAUGUUUGUCUUAUCUUGUGAUGAAUGUGAAAUAAUAGGUAAUGUCGGUAAGUGCCAAGAAAUGUCUAUGAAUUAUUCACUUGCUCUUGAACCAUUUGAUGUUUGGGGAUUUGAUUACAUGGGACCUUUUCCUACCUCUAAUGGGUAUACUCAUAUUUUGGUUGCUGUUGAUUAUGUUACUAAGUGGGCAGAAGCUAUUCCAACUAGUAUUGCUGAUCACAGCACCUCUAUUAAAAUGCUUAAAGAAUUUAUUUUCCCAAGGUUUGGAGUCCCUAGAUAUUUAAUGACUGAUGGUGGUUCACACUUUAUUCAUGGUGCUUUCCGUAAAAUGCUUGCUAAGUAUGAAGUUAACCAUAUAAUUGCAUCACCCUAUCAUCCUCAGUCUAGUGGUCAAGUUGAACUUAGCAAUAGAGAAAUAAAGUUAAUUUUGCAAAAGACUGUCAAUAGAUCCUAGAAGAAUUGGUCUAAGAAAUUAGAAGAUGCACUUUGGGCUUAUAGAACAGCAUAUAAAAAUCCUAUGGGUAUGUCUCCUUAUAAAAUGGUUUAUGGAAAAGCUUGUCAUUUGCCUCUUGAGUUAGAGCAUAAAGCAUAUUGGGCAAUUAAAGAACUCAACUAUGAUUUCAAACUUGCUAGUGAGAAGAGGUUAUUUGAUAUUAGCUCAUUAGAUGAAUGGAGAACCCAAGCUUAUGUAAAUGCCAAGUUAUUUAAAGAGAAAGUUAAAAGAUGGCAUGAUAAAAGAAUCCAAAAGCGUGAGUUCAAAGUUGGAGAAUAUGUUCUUUUGUACAACUCUCGUUUCAGAUUCUUUACAGGAAAACUCCUCUCCAAAUGGGAAGGACCCUAUGUUAUCGAGGAGGUUUAUCUAUCUGGAGCUAUCAAAAUAAAUAAUGCCGAAGGUACUAACCUGGAGGUUGUUAAUGGGCAAAAAAUAAAACAUUAUAUCUCAGGUACACCUAUUAAUGUUGAAAGCAAUAUUAUCCAAACUAUGACACCGGAAGAACACAUAAAAGAAACCUUCCGGAACACUCCAGAAUCGUGAAAAAGAGGAGGUACGUGAUACGGUAAGUAAACGGACUCCGAAAAAUCUGCAAAAAUAUUUACCCUCCGUUUUGGAAUAUAACAAAAAUGUCAAAAAUAAGAAACUACCAGGAAGGUGACCCUGGUGGGCACAAGACACCAAUGCGUGCCUUGGUUGGCGGGCGCGCCCAAGUGGGUUGUGCCCACCUAGGGUACCCUCUGGACUCCAUUUUUCUUCCAUUUGCUUGUUUCCCAAGAUAAAACAUCUUUAUAUACCCCCCGAACCUAUUGACCUCCGUAUUGCGGAGAAAUAUUUUGUUUUCUUUUCUUGCUGUUUUCAGUCAGAUCUGUUAAGCCAGGCAUCAUGUCUUCUUCCUCCUCCAACAACAUGGAAGAGGAUGUUUGGUUGAUGAAGAUCGAGCUGAAGAGAGAAGAGCCCGUAGAAGCCGUCAAAGGGCACAAGAGCAAGGAGGCUACUGGAGAUCAAGCGCCGGUGGUUGAGCAGGCCUGGCCUGCCGAGGAAGAAGAAGAAGAUAGCCUUAAACCUUACAAUGAUCAUCUCACCCCCACCGAGAUCGAAGCCUUUCGGAUCAUUGAAAUGGUUCGUGUGCAAAAUAAAUAUAUCACCCAUGAAAAUAUUCUGUUGCAAGAGCACAUCAUCGCCCUCCAGAGCAUUAUCUGUAGAUUGGAGAAUCUCUUAACCAUGAAGGACAAGAUCGCUACCACUUGAUCACCACCACCUCCUUCUUCAUCACCAAAAGAAAAUUGAGUAUCGAGUAUGGGCACUCCUCUUGGCUUAUGCCAAGCUUGGGGGAGGUGCCCCGGUAUCGUAUCACCUCCACUAUCUUUUCCCUUACUUAUCUUAGUUCGAUCCAUAGUUAUCUUUUGCUUUAGAUGAAUAAAAGUUUAGUUAGAUCCUUUCUUUUUGAGAGUAUGCUUAGUGAUCUAUCCUUGUAAUUGUGUGCGAGAUAUAUAAUAAAGUUUAGUUUGAGUUUUGAUUUUUUUACUUUCAUGUUUAAUAAAAAGAAAGGAAAUAAAUUAAAAAGAUCAUAUGUUAAUCUUAUGGUGAGUAAUGACAUCACAUAAGGAAAAGUAUAAGUAGAAAAAUUUAUUGUAGAUUGACAAACAUAGCAUUGGUCAAUGAUGCAAUUCAUGAAAGCAUUAAUAAGGGAAGAGAAGAUUCACAAUCAAAUACACUAUCUUGGAAGUCUUUUGUGAUUGUGAGCCCCCAUCAAAAUAUUAUAUGCCAAAAUUGUUGACGUUGGAAAGGGAAGACAACGUAAUGAUUUAUGUUUGCUCAUAUUCACAUGGAAGUUAUAUUGUCAUAGAUGCUUCAACAUGUGGUGCUUGCCCCCCAUCUUUGCGCCAAAAAUUCCGCACCAAGUAGAGAUACUACUUGUGCAUCCAAAAACCCUUAAACCCAAAUCUUAUUUUCAAGCGCCCACCAUACCUACCUAUGGAUUGAGUAAGAUCCUUCAAGUAAGUUGUCAUCGGUGCAGCAAGGCAAUAAAAAUUGCUUCUAAAAGUGUUAGGUCAUUAAGUGUAAGAGAAAAUUCAGUGUUGUACAAACUUGUGAUAACAAAGCAUAAAAGCGACAGACUGCAUAAUAAAGGUUGCUAUCAUAACGGGCAAUAUAACGUGACAUUCUUUUCCACUAAAGGAUUGAUCAUACAAACAGAAAGUGCAUGGCAACCUCUGCUUCCCUCUGCGAAGGGCCUAUCUUUGACUUUUAUGUAUUUACUUUUAUGUAAGAGUCAAAGUUAUUCUCUCUAUUCCUUUUUAUUUUUCUCUUUUGGCAAGCAUCAUGUGGCGAGGAAAGAUCUAGGCACAAAUAUGUAGUUGGAUGUGGGUAGCAUGAGUUAUUAUUGUUGACGUCACCCUCGAGGUGAGUAUGUUGGGAGGCGAAACUAUAAGCCCCUCUUUUUCUAUGUGUCCGAUUGAAACGUUUUUCUCAUGUGUAUGCGGUGAGUGUUAGCAAUCAUAGAAGACUAUAUGAUGGUUGAGUAUGUGGACUUCCCUAAAGGCUCCUAUACGUGACCCUUCCUGAAAAGAUGACGAAUUGUAGUUGCAAAGUUUACUGGGAACAUAAUUUGUUGGUUUCUAGUAGAGUUUAUGCUUUAUACUUCGAUGGUGUGAUGAAUUGUUACUUAUUCAUGAGAAGUCUAUGAUAAAAGUUCUAUGAUAAAGUUGUAUGUUUAAGUUUGUUGCUGUUAUAAUAAUUCACAUGAUGCUUCUAUGUCCGUAUUUUGUUUUUAUAGACACCUCUCUCUCUAAGCAUGUGGACAUGUUUUUCAAUUUCAGUUUUCGCUUGAGGACAAGCGAGGUCUAAGCUUGGGGGAGUUGAUACGUCGAUUUUGCAUCAUGUUUACCUACUGUUAUUUAUAAUGUUUGUAUGCAUAAUAAUGCUUUUUGGAGUAAUUCUAAUGCCUUUUCUCUCAUAAUAUGCAAGGUUCACACAAAGAGGGAGAAUUCCGGCAGCUGGAAAUCUGGACCUGGAAAAGCUAUGCCAGGCCACCUAUUAUGCACAACUCAAAAUAAGCUGAAACUCAACGAGGAAUUUUUAUGGAAUAAAUGAGAAAUACUGGAGCAAAUAACUACCAGAGGGGGGCACUUGGUGAGCACAAGACACCAGGGCGCGCCUGGCCCCCCAGGCGCGCCCUGGUGCGUUGUGCUCAGCCCGGCCCACCUCUGGUGCCCAUCUUCUGGUAUAUAAGUCAUUUUGACGUAGAAAAAAACAAGGAGAGGACUUUUGGGACGGAGCAUCGCCGUCUCGAGGCGGAACUUGGGCAGGAGCACUUUUGCCCUCCGGCGGAGCGAUUCCACCGGGGGAACUUCCCUCCCGGAGGGGGAAAUCAUCGUCAUCAUCAUCACCAACAACUCUCCCAUCUUGGGGAGGGCAAUCUCCAUCAACAUCUUCAAUAGCGCCAUCUCCUCUCAAACCCUAGUUCAUCUAUUGUGUCCAAUCUUUGCACUGGAACUAUAGAUUGGUGCUUGUAGGUGACUAGUAGUGUUGAUUACAUCUUGUAGUUGAUUUCUAUAUGGUUUAUUUGGUGGAAGAUUAUAUGUUCAGAUCCAUUAUGCUAUUUAAUACCCCUCUGAUCUUGAGCAUGUUAAUCACUUGUGAGUAGUUACUUCUGUUCUUGAGGUCACGGGAGAAAUCAUGUUGCAAGUAAUCAUGUGAACUUGAUAUGUGUUUGAUAUUUUGAUAGUAUGUAUGUUGUGAUUCCCUUAGUGGUGUCAUGUGAAUGUCUACUACAGGACACUUCACCAUAUUUGGGCCUAAGGGAAUGCAUUGUGGAGUAGUUAUUAGAUGAUGGGUUGUGAGAGUGACAAAAUCUUAAACCCUAGUUUAUGCGCUAUUCUGUAAGGGACCGAUUGGAUCCAAGAGUUCAAUGCUAUGGUUAGAAUUUAUUCUUAAUACUUUUCUCAUAGUUUUGGAUGCUUGCGAGGGGGUUAAUCAUAAGUAGGAGGUUUGUUCAAGUAAGAACAUCACGUAAGCACCAGUCCACCCACGUAUAAAAUUAUCAAAGUAGCAAACACAAAUCAAACCAAUAUGAUGAAAGUGACUAGAUGAAAUUCCCGUGUACCCUCAAGAACGCUUUGCCUAUUAUAAGAGACUGUUUUGGCGUUUCCUUUGCCUCAAAAGGAUUGGGAUAUCUUGCUGCACUUUUGUUACUAUUUCCUUUACUUGCUCGUUACAAAUUACCUUGCUAUCAAACUACUCUGUUACAUAGAAUUUCAGCACUUGCAGACAUUACCUUGCUGAAAACCACUUGUCAUUUCCUUCUGCUCAUCGAUGGGUUCGACACUCUUACUUAUCGAAAAGGCUACAGUUGAUCCCAUAUACUUGUGGGUCAUCAGGCAGUUCCCGGUUACGGUGGUUGGUCGGGGCCAACCGAUGCAGUGUGGUUUGCGCAUUUCUCUCGUACGCGCGUUUGUGCGAGGCGCUUGCUAACUGAACCCUUGCGAGGCGUUCGCUUACUGAACCCAAGCGAUUGCACAAGCUAACUAUGUACUGAACACGAGGGAUCGAUCCCACUAUGUAUUUGUCGGUGUACAAAAGUAGGGGUCCUUUUUGUACCCCUUUACUUGUGCGCGAGCAGUCGCAGCCACACGCCCACGACCACGCUUGGCGGGGCAGAGGGAGCGAAGACACAAGACUACCAGAGCAACGACAAGACAGAAGCGCAAGAAGCGAAGGGACAAGGUGGGCUCUCCCCAACAGGAGCCUUGCCGGGCAACUUACGUAGCCCCGGCAAGGGCCCUUGCCGGGGCAACUUGCCCAACACCAGCAGAGCCGCCACCCUUGAGCCUAAGAGUUCCGACACCACCGACAACAUUGGGACCAUGGCUCGGGAGGCGCCUGCAUGGUGGCAUGCAGAUCUUUGUCAAGACCAAGGACAUACAAGACUAGAUGAGAACCAGAAGAUGAAGACCUCCGGCAAGAUCCUUGCUGGAGACGCCCACAAGACCCCCGGCAAGACCCUUGCCAAGGACUCCUGCAAGGCCCCGACAAGAACCUUGUCGGGGCCCCGGCAAGGCUCUUGCCGAGGUCAUCUACGAGGCCGCAGCCAGGCCCACGCCAAGGCUCCACCGCCAUUCCCACACAGCUGCCAGCCCGCCAACUAGACAGGCACCUGCGUGGCGGCAUGCAGAUCCCAGGUCAACUCAGCAAGCACCUAUGUGGUGGCAUGCAGAUCUUCGUGAAGACUCUACCACGACACCAACUCAGCAGCCAGCUAGCCAGCGUGGCACUAGACACCUCGUCAGCCUGGACGCGUGUCGAAGCAAGGCGAGGCAGCGACAGGUGGGACGAGCUUCCUUGCCGUCCCCGAUAAAGCAAGAAGGGCACGUCAGCAGCGCAUUAAAUGUGUUUUAUCCUACAGUGCCAGGGAUAAAUUCGACUACUGUAGAACUUUCCACCUCCUGUGUGCCACUGUGGCAGCCCCUUUGACUAUAAAAGGAGGCCCGCGGUGUACUGAGAGAGGAUUCAGACUUUUUGGACCCUGCACGCUUUGUAGCUAGUCCAAGAACACCAGAUAAACACAAACUAGCAUGAGUAGGGUAUUACGCGUCACUCGUGUCCUGAACCUGGAUAAACCCCCCGUAUUGAUCUUCUGAACCCGCUCUUUCCACAGCCCCGUGCCCGCCAACCAUAGAAGGGAUUCCCCGUGAUCCCAUGGGUGUCCUUUCCACCGACAUCUUUGGUUCGCCAGGUAGGGGGCGCAAGCUGUGAGAAUCCGGUUUUGAAGCCGACGCAUCAACUUUUCCAUGGGGAGGGCUCGAGAGGAGAAGGCGACGUCGAUCAGCCGCCCUCUGGUGCCAUCCGCGUGGCCACGAAAAGCUAAGUCAUGCGUAACUUUGGGCAAUUCUUCUUAAUAUAAGGUUAUUCUCCUCGAAAGAUCUUGCUCUUUGUACGGAAAACCUGCACACCAUGGGACCCUUCCGCUAUUGGCAAGACCCUUGUUCUGUUUCGAGUCUGCUCAACAGUUCAAGCGGCCGCGCUGAGAACGGCAAGGUGGCCUGCCCGCUAUUAGCAACCCCCAUGCCCUGUUUCGAGUCCGCUCAACAGUUUAAGCGGCCGCGCUGAGAAUGGCAAGGUGGUUUGCCCGGCAGCAAGUGCCCCCCGGCAGGCUGCUAAGGAUCCGUCCUCAAGGUGCCAUAGCAUGCGUUUACGCACCGGCGAACCUAUCCUACUGGGCGUAGGGUGCAUACGUACAAAGAAAGAUCAAUACAGGAAGAUAGCAUGUUUCAUCUUAAAUUAAUGCAGAGUUAUAUUACAUCAAUUGUUGCUGCGGUUCUAACUUAAGAUCAGAUUGUCUUGGUCAUGAACCCGCAGCGGUGAUGAGAAACGAGGUGCCUAGUCCCGGCGCUAGCCCUCCACCCUCUGGACUCCGUCGACGUAGCGGAUGAUGGGCUCGAUACGCUCCUCGAGCGGCGCGAGGUCCACGUCCUCCGGCAGGCUCUCCAGCGCAUCGGCAAAGUCGACGUUGGGGUUCCAGUAUGCCAUCUUGGUGAGGACCUUGGUCAGGGCACCCCGGCAAAGCUUCCAGGCCUCAUUGGCCAGAGAGGUCACUCGGUUGGAGCGAAGCCGCUCCAGGGCUCUGAGGACGCCCUCGAAGAACAGGGUCAGCCUGGCAUUGGGGCUCACGUUCGGCUCCGGGGAGUACCUGACAUCCGGCAGGCCCAUGGCGGCUAGCUGUGCGGUGAGCCUCUCCGCGACAUCGACAAGGCGGCUGAUCCAGAGGUUUACGCCCUUCGGGUACUCCUCGUACUCGGCGGCGCCAUCCCUCUGCAGCCGUUUCUCCUCCUCCAGGGCCUUGUUCAGGGUCUCCUCACGAGCCACGGCCUCCGAGAGCUUCCCCUCCAAGCCGUCCGCCUUCAGCUUAAGGUCGUUGAUGGAUUCGUUUGCCUCGGAGAGCAGCUUGGCCUUGUCGGAGACUACGGCCUGGGCAUCCUCCAAAGAACGGUUGGCCCUGUCCCUCUCCUUCGUCAGCUCCGAGGCCACCUUCUUCAGCUCCUCCCGCUCCUGCUCUAGUUCCUUCACCUUGCCAGCAUGGACCAGGGCCUGAGCAUUGAGUGCCUCCUUGUGCCUCUGCUCCAGCUCUUGGGUCUGCUGCGCGACGAACUUCUUGACCUCCUCAUCCUUACCGUUGAGUGUGGCGGUGAGCGCCUCCUCACGGGCGGCAAGCUCCUCCUCCUGGGAGUUUAGCAGAGCCUGGUGCUAUUGCCGAGCGGCCGCGUCCUUGGCGGCCUGUUCCUUCGCCGCCUCCUGGGACUUCUCGACGUUAGCCUGCUUCAGGAUGAGCUCCCAUUUGCGCUCAGCCAGCUCGUCCUGGGCAGCCUUCAGUCCCUCAUGAGCCUCGCGGAACCAGGCCUGCGUCUGGGCAAGGCGCUCCUCAAGAUCCGCCUCCGCCUUGUCCGCUGCCGCCAUCCUAGACUUCGCCUUGUCUAGGCGGGCACGGUGGAGUGCCUGGAGCUUCUGGAAGUUGGCGUUCAUGGCCCGGAGAAGCUGCUCCUCUUGGGAACCGCCACCGCCGGCGCUCGGUUCAUCAACAACUUGAAGCCCGGCAGUGGCAAGCGCCUCGUCCUCGAACACCUCCCCCUCGGUUGGCGCCCUGGUGCUCGCUGUCCCCGGGAGGUGGACGAACAGGUCAUCGCCCACCUUCAAGUACUUGCCAGGGGCAGGGGCUGGAGGGGAGGAAGGUUGGUCGUCAGCCACCCCCUCCACGGCAGGCCCCUUAGCGGCCUCUUCGGCAGCGGCUUUGCCGGCCUCCCCGGCAGGCCCCUUGGCGGCCUCGUCAGCGGCGGUCUUGGUGGACUCCUCGGCAGCAAUCUUAUCGGCCUCGGCCUCGGCGUCCUUGGCGACCUCCCCGAUGACGGUAUCAACGUCCUCCUGGUCCACCGAGGGAGGGUCUGGAUACCAAGAAGAACAAUGAGACGGGGCCAAAAUCAAGGUCCAAGCAGAAGAAAAGACAGGGACGGAAGGUAGGCCACGUACCCGCGCCAAGCUGGGAAGAAGUGUUUCCCUCCCCGCCAAUGUCCGUUGUCGGGAUGGAGCCACUGCCGCCCAAGUUCACCUCCUCUAUGCGCAAGGGCUCGGUGCUUGAUGCCUUCGUCGGGGAUGCCCCUCUGGGCGGCGUGGUUGACGGGGGCGGAGUGUUGGGGGUGGCCCUCAGCGGCUCCUCCUGCUGCCUCUCCCCUCCCGCGAACCCGGCAAGAUUAGCACCAAGGGAUCGCGCCCCAAUGCACACCGACAAGAAGUGAGUAAUGUACUCACGCUGGGGGCUGAAGCGGGGGCUGCGUCGGGGGCUGUCGUCCGGGAUGAUCACCACCAACUCCGACGUGCGCGGAGUGCUCGCCGGGGGCUCGUCGCCCGUCGAGGCCCUGGCCCUCUUCGCCACCCUCUGGGCCAAUGUCUCCGUGUCCCUGUAAGGAUAAUAUCAAGUUAAAAGAGGAUAGCAUAGGCGUGGGGACAGGAGAUGAUGGAGGGCGAAGCACUUACUCGUCCUCCACCUCCUCUUCCACUAGCCUCCUCUUCCUCUUCGGGCUGAAGGACCCGAGGUAAAAAUUAACCUCCGAGUUGCCAUCCGAAGGAGAAGGAGAAGGGGAUGUGGCCCGACGCCGUUUGGAUGAGGAGGAGGCGGCCGCCUUCUUCUUCGCUAUGGCGGUUUUCACUGCCUUCUUCACUACCGCGGCCUUCGACACCGCGGCCCUCGUCUGGCGCACGGACUGCUCCUGAACCUGUUGCCGCUGCGCGGUCCCGCUGGGCCGGACCGGCUUGCUGGAGCUGGCCCGCCGCAGGACGCGCCUCUUCCCUGCGGCCGAGGGGUCGACAGCCUCGGCCUCUUCCUUGGUCGACUCCUCGACCACAUCUUCAACGAGGGGGCCCCAGAGCCGGCGCCGCUGGCCUCCCCGGCAGACUCCGCCCACUUGGUGAGCUCCUUCUCCUCCGCGGCCGCGUCGGCCUUGUCCUCCACGGCACCGAUGCUGCUGGCUUCCUUAGCAAGCGCCGCCUUCGCCGCCCUGGCGGCGAUGUAGUCCAGCUCCUCCUUGGUGGUGUCGCGGAUGAGCAGCGGCUCGUCGCGGACAUAGUUCUCCGACAAGUUGUUGAAAAACUCAUGCACCUUCUCUGCUGGCGGCUCGCCCCAGGCGGGGUCGAGGCCGUGCGUGUUGAAGUAUGGAUCAUGGCGAUGAUAGCGGACUGGCGAGAGUUGUUGCUCAGGGGGACCACUCCCGCCGGCAACCCAGACAGAGGCCCCUUGAUGGCCUUGCCGGUCUUCACGGAUUUGCCGGUCCUCUCAACCCUGCCGUCGCCGUCCACAUUGAGUUGAAAGAGCCUCUAGCAAAAAUGGCCGUGCCCCAGCACCGUGAAGUUGUGCUUCAGGCCAAGGUGGAGCCUCAUGAUAUCGGCCGCAUUCCUGAUGUCCCAGGCCGGCCUCACCUUGUUGUGCAGCGGGGCGAUUCGCUGACGGAUGAAAUCAGCCCCAAUCAUCUCAAGGGUGAGCCCGGCCAUGGUGGUGGCGACCGUGAGCUUCUUGUCAGUGGCGUCGAGGUCGCUCCAGUCCUUGCGGCAGGUUGGCGGGCUCUGGCGAACUCAGCAGAACUCCUGCGGAUCCUUCUCCAUGAUCUAGAGCCACCGGCCCCGCCACUCGUUCCACCUCUCCUUUUGGGCACCCUCCGGGUAUGUGCCCUUCUCCUGGGUCCUCGGGAUCCAGGUGAUGCACCCAGAAAUGGCGUCCCCUGGCUGGAUGUGAGGAUAGAAGUAGUGGCGGAAGAGCGUCGUGCUGGGGAGCACCCUGGCAAAGCCCUCGCAGAGGUGGGCGAAGAAGGCCAUGCACACCACGACAUUCGGCAUAAAGUCGAGGAGGUGAAAGCCGUAGGUGUGCAUGAUGUCGUUGAUUUAAUCAGAGAAAGGGGGGAAGAGCCCGCAAGAGAAGUAAUCCACGAAGAAGGGGUACCGAUUUGGGCCGGCCUUGGCGAAAUCGGAAGGGACGAUGAGCGUGGCCGGGUGCCCCGUCGUCUCCCUACCCCACAGGGGCCUGAAGUAGUCCCUGAGGUGGACCGCAUCGACCGUCGAGCGGAAAUAGGCGUGCUGCGUCCGCAGCACCGCCAACUCGCUCUCCGGCGCAUCUUUCUCCCCGUCGUCCUGGGCCACCCCUUUGCCUUUGCCUAUCUUGGGCGCCAUGGCGACUGAGAGGGGAUGGAGGAUUAAGGGCAGUGAGGGCGCGGCGGCGGCGAGCAAAGGCAAGAGCUUAAGGAAGAAGAAGGGAGCGAUGGAUCCGAGAUUGGGGAAGGCAUAGGGGGUAAAUGAGCAGCGCGCCUGCGGUUUCUCCUUUUUAUGGGGAAGGCACGAGCCGCCUCUUUACCAUUUACCACGAUGUGACGCAAGCGUGUUGCAACCGCCCCACGCACGACCCCCACGUCACAUUCAAGGCGGGUCAUGGGGAAGCGCAACUGGCGAGGGAGUUACCGUGGUAAAACUCUACCACGCGUACCCGUGCACCGUUCUGGGCCUGGCCCAAUAAUUCUCCGCGCUUAUAUGUGGCCCAGGCCCGGGGGCUCCUGUCGGUGUACAAAAGUAGGGGUCCUUUUUGUACCCCUUUACUUGUGCGCGGGCAGUCGCAACCACACGGACGCGGCCACGCUUGGUAGGGCAGAGGGAGCGAAGACACAAGACUACCAGAGCAACGACAAGACAGAAGCGCAAGAAGCGAAGGGACAAGGUAGGCUCUCCCCAGUAGGAGCCUUGCCGGGGCAGCUUACUUAGCCCCGGCAAGGGCCCUUGCCAGGGAAACUUGCCCAAUGAUACGUCUCCAACGUAUCAAUAGUUUUUGAUUGCUCCAUGCUAUUAUAUAUUCUGUUUUGGAUGUUUAAUGGGCUUUAUUAUACAUUUUUAUAUUAUUUUUGGGACUAACCUACUAACCCAAGGCCCAGUGCAAAUUGUUGUUUUUUUGCGUAUUUCAGUGUUUCACAGAAAAGGAAUAUCAAACGGAGUCCAAACGGAAUGAAACCUUCGGGAGCGUAAUUUUUGGAACAAACGUGAUCCAAAGGAGUUGGAGUGGACGUCAAGAAAUCAACAAGGAGGCCACGAGGCAGGGAGGCGCGCCUGCCCCCCUGGGCACGCCCCCACCCUCGUGGGCCCCUCGUGGCUCCACCGACCUACUUCUUCCUCCUCUAUAUACCCAUGUACCCCGAAACCAUCGAGGAGCACCACGAAACCAUAUAUCCUCCGCCGCAACCUUCUGUACCCGUGAGAUCCCAUCUUGGGGCCUUUUCCGGCACUCCGCCGAAGGGGGAAUCGAUCACGGAGGGCUUCUACAUCAACACCAUAGCCUCUCCGAUGAUGUGUGAGUAGUUUACCAUAGACCUUCGGGUCCAUAGUUAUUAGCUAGAUGGCUUCUUCUCUCUCUUUGGAUCUCAAUACAAAGUUUGCCUCGAUCUUCUUGGAGAUCUAUUCGAUGUAACUCUUUUUGUGGUGUGUUUGUCGAGAUCCAAUGAAUUGUGGGUUUAUGAUCAAGCUUAUCUAUGAACAAUAUUUGAAUCUUCUCUGAAUUAUUUUAUGUAUGAUUGGUUAUCUUUGCAAGUCUCUUCGAAUUAUCAAUUUGGUUUGGCCUACUAGAUUGAUCUUUCUUGCAAUGGGAGAAGUGCUUGGCUUUCAAUCUUGCGUUGCUCGAUCCCAGUGACAGAAGGGGAAAUGACACAUAUUGUAUUGUUGCCAUCGAGGAUAAAAAGAUGGGGUUUAUAUCAUAUUGCUUGAGUUUAUCCCUCUACAUCGUGUCAUCUUGCCUAAUGCGUUACUCUGUUCUUAUGAACUAAAUACUCUAGAUGCAUGCUGGAUAGGGGUCGAUGUGUGGAGUAAUAGUAGUAGAUGCAGGCAGGAGUCGGUCUACUUGUUGCGGACGUGAUGCCUAUAUACAUGAUCAUGCCUAGAUAUUCUCAUAAUUAUGCACUUUUCUAUCAAUUGCUCGACAGUAAUUUGUUCACCCACCGUAAUACUUAUGCUAUCUUGAGAGAAGCCACUAGUGAAACCUAUGGCCCCCGGGUCUAUUUUCCAUCAUAUUAAUCUUCCGUCAACUAGCUAUUUCUGUCGCCGUUUAUUUUGCAAUCUUUAGUUUCAAUCUUUAUCAUAAAAAUACCAAAAAUAUUAUCUUAUCAUCUCUAACAAAUCUCACUUUUGCAACUGGCCGUGAAGGGAUUGACAACCCCUUUAUCGCGUUGGUUGCAAGGUUCUUAUUUGCUUGUGUAGGUACGAGGGACUUGCGUGUGGCAUCCUACUGGAUUGAUACCUUGGUUCUCAAAAACUGGGGGGAAAUACUUACGCUACUUUGCUACAUCACCCUUUCCUCUUCAAGGGAAAACUAACGCAUGCUCAAGAGGUAGCAAGAAGGAUUUUCGGCGCCGUUGCCGGGGAGAUUUAUGCACAAGUCAAGACAUACCAAGUACCCAUCACAAAUUCUUAUCCCUCCCAUUACAUUAUUUGCCAUCUGCCUCUCGUUUUCCUCUCCCCCACUUCACCUUUGCCGUUUUAUUCACCCUUCUUCUAUUCGUCUUUUUGUUUGCUUUGAUGUUUUACUUGGCUCGUUUGCUCGUUUGGUUGGAAUAGUUGUUUAUUUAUUGCUAAAGAGAGAACCUAAGAUCUAUGGAUCCUCAUCCGCUUGCUAAUCUUUUUAAGAUAUCCAAUUAUGAUGAACCAAUUGCUAGUGAGUUUUGUGCACUAGAUUAUCUUUAUGGAGUUUUGCUUGAAAUUCGUGAAUCUGAAAUUUUUGAUGAAGUACUUUAUGGAGUGAUUCACGAUGGAUCUUUGAAUAAAAAGCAUGAUUGCAAUGAUGAUAGUAUAAAUUCUAUUAAUGUCAAUUGUGCUUAUAAUAUGAAAAACCCUAAGCUUGGGAUGCUAGUUUUGCUAUGUCUACUACUUGUUGCAAUGAUCAUGAUUGGGGUGAUUCUUCUUAUGAUCUUGAAAAUUUAUUUAAGCACCAUGAUGAAUAUGAGAUUGAUAAUAAUGUUUGAAAUAGUAUUGAAAGUGGGUUUGGAAGAGUGUCAACUUUAGAUCCCACAUAUUCGGAUUUUGAUCAAUCUUAUGAAGUUUUUGAUAAAAGUGGGUUUGGAGAGGUCAUGACUUUAGUUAAUGUAAUCCCACUAAGAGUGUCAACUUUGCAUGCAUGAGGAUCGUGUUAAGAAUAUGUUAUGUGAUAGCUAUAUUGUUGAAUGUUCUUAUGAUCCUACAUGUAAUUAUUAUGAGAGGGGAAAAUAUGGUUGUAGAAAUUUUCAUGUUACUAAAUUACCUAUCUUCAUGUUGAGAUUGCUAUCGUCUCAUUCUUCUUCCUUGCAUGUGCUAGUUUUUUGCUUUCCUUGAUAAUUUGUUUGCUUAUAAAAUACCUAUGCAUAGGAAGUAUGUUAGACUUAAGUGUGUUUGUCACAUGUUUUAUGAUGCUCUCUUUGUGCUUCAAUUCUUGUCUUUCAUGUGAGCAUCAUUAAAAUUAUGAAUGCCUAGCUAAAAGGCUAUAAAGAAAAGUGCUUGUUGGGAUACAACCCAAUAUUUUUCCUUGCUGUCAUUCAACAAAUAUUUGAUCUAGCCUCUGGUUAGAUGUGGUUUUGUGUUUUAAUUAGUGUUUGUGUCAAGUAAAACCUAUAGGAUCUUCUCGGAUGAUAGUUAUUUGAUCUUGCUGAAAAGGUCAGAAACUUUCUGCUCACGAAAACAAUUGUUAAAAAUCACCAGAACGUGAUAAAAUACUGAUUCCAAUUGCAGUAGAUCAAUAAACAAAUUAUCUAGGAGGUCCUAUUUUGGUAGAUCUUUGUGAGUUGCAAAAGUUUGCGUUUGAUAGAGAUUACUAGAGACUGUUCUGUUUUUGACAGAUUCUGUUUUUCAUGUGUUGUUUGCUUAUUUUGAUGAAUCUAUGGCUAGUAUUGGAGGUUAUGAACCAUAGUGUGAUGCCCCAAUAACGGCGCUCCAGACGCCUUCCAUGUUUUUCGUUAUCGUCGUGUGUAUUUAUUUUUUUGCUGCAUUCAUCAUGUCAUCAUUUGCAUUGCAUCGGUAGUCUGCUGCCAUCAUUUUCAUAAAACUUGCAUUCGCUCAUAGUUGCCGCUUCUUCCUUGUCCCUGUUGACCCCUCUCAGAUCAACUGGACGGCUCUCUUCUCUCUAUUUUCCGAGCCCAUCAAAACCCCUUGUUUCCAUGGCCUUUUGUCAAACCCCUCGCAUGCGCGUCCGAAAACCUCUCUCGAACCCGACCCUGGUUGUCGUUAUCGAUGGGUCCGGAUCAUCUCCGAACAUCCCUGAAACAUCUUCAUUUUCCCUUUGAUCUCCCCUAACCUAUUUAUUCUUGACCAUCCGAUUACUAUCGGAGGGACCAAAUCUACCCUAAUGCUCCUUUUCCCUAUAUAAAGACUCCCUAGUCUAAAUCCGGACAAACCCUAACUUCUAGAGACUUGUCCCGUCCGCCCGCCGCAGCCAGUCCACUGUCUCCUCCUCCUCCUUGGGAUCCCCUCCCGAUCUAGACCACCAACACAGCCGCUACAGCUCCUGCUCAAUUUUCCACACCGACCAACCUCCGUGCUCACCUCCCGAUCGUGCGCGCCUCUGCCUCAUCUCUGACCAUCGCCGGUCUUCGCCGACGCCACCGGCGUACACCACCACCUGCGCCCGAGCCUCCCCUCGAGCUCCUCUCCCUCCGUGCCCGCAAGUCGCCGCCGUUCCCGGCUGCUUCGUCAGCCCCGUCAUUCAAGACGGGCUCCACCAGUAGCUCUUGACGCCUCACUCCGUAGCCGUCUUGCGAGCAUGCUAGCGUCCUCCACCUCGACCCGUCCCGCUCGCCGGUAAUGCACCGUCGAUCUGCAUCGAGCGUUGACCCCGCAGCCGCCGUCGUCUUCACCCCGGCAGGCCAGUAGCUGCUGCUGCUCCUCCUUCCCGGGUUUCUCUCUUUCCCUGCUGCUACUCUCUGAAUUUUCCCCGCCGUGGCCGCCUCUCCGCAGGUCGCCGAUGCUCCGACGGGAUCAAGCCACCGGAGCUCCUGCACCAGCCCUGCCAUUGCCGCUCCACGCCAAGUCCCUCGCCUUGCCGCCCCUUCGCCCACUCGUCGGAGCUCUGCUCCAGGCGCCGCCCGCAGCUCGCUACAUCGAACAGGAGAAUGAGCGCACGAGCAGCGCUCGCGUUGACCGCGCCCUUGCCCAGCGGCCUCGCUCGGCCUGCCUCCACCAACUGGGCCUCAGCCCAUGGUGAGCCACCACUGCGCCCCCUUCCAUUGUUGGCCCAAGUGCAGAUUCGGCCCGUAGAUUUUUGUUUCCAGUUCUGCGAAUUUAGUUACCUAUCCAGAGACUGCCAGUUUUACAGAAAACCCCUUGCACUUCAUGCAUUUAAUAUCACAUAAACCAUGCAUCGGAUUGAAAUACUUCAUAUAUGAAAAAUGCUUAGAAUUUCAUCUAGUUUCGUAAUAUGCUGCUUUCAUCCAUGUUUGAAAUGUUUAAACUUGCUGUUUGUUGUAUUUUGCAUAAAUGCCAUGCUAAAAUGUUUUAUUUCAUAACUAAAUAACCGUAGCUCCAUUUUAAAUAAACUUCAUAUGUAAAUGGGGUAGAAAAAUGCCUAGUUUAACAUGGUGCACUUCAUUUUGCUGUUUAACAACAUUAAAAUUGUGUUUAGGUCAGAACAGUAGCAAAUUCGAAAUAUGCAUAUGAGGAUUUUUCCGGAAUUGUUAUUUGUUGUUCCGGCCUCAUUUAAACUUGACUAAAUAGUUAUUUUACUUAUGCUUCACCUCUUGCCAUGUUAAUCAAUAUUUAAUAUUGUUGGGUACAUAAACGAGAGAGAACUAAAUAUUUGAAUGUGGUGUUUCGUCAAUAUGCAACUCGUUGCAUAUUGAGCUCCACUUAAUUUGUAGUGUUGUUUGUUGCACUUUGCCAUGCCAUGCUCAUUAAACCGGACAUGCAUCAUACUUGAUUGUGCAUCAUGUUAUGCUUAUGUAAUGGUUGCUUACCAUGUUGUUUGCUUCUUUCCGGUUUUCUUCUCUUGUUAGCUUCGGUUUCGUUCCAGAGUUGUGAGGAUUCGUUCGACUACAUCCGUUUGUCUUCUUCAUGGACUCGUUCUUCUUCCUUGCGGGAUUUCAGG
rnacentral:lncRNA from 1 species